rnacentral:lncRNA from 1 species
CUCUGUAUAUAAAGACCAUUCCAUAUGAAUCACACAAUCACAACAUCUUCUGAAAUCCCUCGCACCCUUUCACCCAAAAGAUGUGCUUUGAGAGUUUCCUUCCUCAAUCAGGCUUUUGAAGUGAACAGACACCUCCUCCUUAAAAAUGGCCAUCCUUUUCCCUCGGGUCAUUCAAGUAAAGCAAAUUCUGCGGAAAUCAUUAUGCAAUGGAAACAACACUACUAAAUCUAUGGACAUCCCGAAAGGCUAUCUAGCAAUCUAUGUUGGUGAGCAAGAAAAGAAGCGAUAUGUGGUUCCUGUAUGGUUGUUAAGCGAACCUGCUUUUCAAGAAUUACUAGAUCAGGCAGUACAAGAAUUUGGGCAGGGCCGGUCCAAACGUAUAUGGGGCCCAGGGCGAAAAGGAAAAAAAGGGCCCCUUAAAGGACAAAUAUCAUAAAGAUUCAAAAAAAUAUCAUUUAUUUUUCAGUAUAAAUGCGUACAAUUAGCAAUAACAAGCAAGCCAAAUUGUUUAUCUUUUGAGCUAAUUUGAGUUUGAACCAACUUUAGACCCAAAAAAUCAUUUAGGUAUUAAUUUUUUUGUAUAUAUACACUACAUAUCCCAAAAAAUUUGGGCCCCCUGGAGACAUGGGCCCUAGGCGAUCGCCCGGGUUGCCCACCGUCUGGACCGGCCCUGAAUUUGGGUAUGUUCAUCAAAUGGGCGGCCUCACAAUUCCAUGCAGUGAAUAUACAUUCAGUGAUGUUGCUUCUCAGUUGGGCGCAUUAUGACUUCUAUACAACAUUCUUACAACCAACUAACCACUAGGUUUUUUUAUCAUUUGUAAAUAAAUGAAGACAAUUUUCCCUCUUGUAUGAAAUCGGAUCAAGGAAGAGUUUUGAGUUUACUAUAAUUUGCUUAGUGUAUGAAUGAGAAACUAAUUUCACGGUUGAUUAUUUGAAAUAUGAAUUUUGGGAGUGAAAUGGAGUUUUAACAAAGAUAGUUGCUUCUAGUGGUAAAACGAACUAAUACCAACUAAUCUUUCUUCCAUUUUCAUAUUUUAGGUGAAUGAAACUAAGGGAAACCAAAUAUUUCGUAAUAUGAAUUGGUAAUUAAUGUUACGUAUGCUGGAAUUUUAACUCUAUAAACAAUGUGGUAUUUAUCAAGUUCAGACUUAUCAUCAAAAAUAUAAUUGGUGAACAAUAUGUAGCACUUGGGUCGAUGACCUUGUGAUGGUGAUAUAUAAAACAUUAAAUCUCACAUGCUUUGGUUCUUUAAGAAAAUUAAUAUAUAAAUUGGCUAAACAUUGAUGCAUUACACGACGAAUUCGGUCCUGCUUGAAAACAAUUUCAUCGUAUGAAAAAAAAAACCUGGUGAUUAGAUAUAUGAAUAACGUUAUAUCAAUGUUUAACUAUUCUUAUGAUUACUUAUACACCCAUAUAUCAUGUAAAUUAGAGCCAAUGAGUCAUGUUUUUACAACUAUGCAAUUUCCUUGUCACAACCCAUUAAUAUGUGAAAUUGUUACAUACAACAUUAAAUUAACUGAGAAUCAUCGUGUAGAAGUAUUAUUUUCAAUCAUGAUUAUGCACUAUGACCGUUACGUAAAAGACAAUGAAAAAACAUUGAUAUUUGAUUUUGGUUCCUCAUAUAGGUGUAAGCACAUGUUAUUAGAUUAGCCAACAACUGAACAAAAAAAGUAUAGUACGCGUAUAUUUAUUCACAAUUUUUUUUUAAUUGAGCAGACACUUCUUUUUUGAAAGAAAAAAAAUGUUGACAAUGAAUUUUGUUUCUCAUUCAUAUAUAAGCUUAUAUCGUCAAAUAAUAUAUGGGGUACUCCAAACAAGUGAAAAUUCAUGUUUUAUACAAUAGGGACAACUGACAUAAUCCCACAUGCAUGUUGCAAAAAGGUCGAUCAAUGCUUUACAAAAAUGUGUAAGCAAACAAAAUAAUGUAACUUGACUUCAAAAUGCUCCCAGGCGACUUUGAAGUUCAAACAAUGUCUUCUCACUACAGCGGAUUUUAGGCCACCCAUUCGAUUGUCAUAUCGAAAUCCAAACUCUUCCUCCACCUAACGAGCACAGUUCAUGAACAUCGAUGUCUAAAUAAUCUCAAGUAACAAGUUAAUCUUCCCUUAUUCAAAGUUUUUACCAAAUGCUUAGAAUAAAAAGUAUGUUGCUAUUUCUUGCAUUUAAACUGUUUUAAUGUCAAAAAUAAUUAUAUUAAAAAAAAUAACAAAGUCAGCAAGUAGAUGAGAAAGAAGCAGAAUAAAACAACAAUCCAAUUUUAACCGAACAAUUUCAUUCUUUCAACUUGUUAAGCUUUUGUCCCUUCUUUGUAAAUUACUUAGAAUUGUCCCAUUUGCAUCAAUACACAUGUAGAUUUGUUUCCACAAUUCUUCUAACAUUUACAUACCAAUUCCACGUUAUAAUCAAAGUUUUACCUAACCCAUUCCCUUUUCCAUUAUGUGUUUGAAUUUACAGUUCAAUUCCAAUUUGACUAAAGGUUAGUAAUACUCAAAUCAGUCGCAUUCCAGAUAUUCAAGUUUUUGCCAUGCAAUCAUAUUUCUAAGCUCAUUACAAAUAGUAAUACAUGAGUCCAAAUCCAAUUUCAAAAUUUAUUUAAAUAUAUUUGAAAAAUCAACUUACUAUAAUUUGGUUAUUUCCUCAAGAAUCUAACAAACUGAAGAACAACUGGAAUUUUGGGUUACCAAAUGUGAGAAAUCACUCAUCUGUUAUAUGAUUUAUGUUCUCCUUUUCUUUUUCCCCUUUUUCUCGUUCGGUUCGCACUCAACAUAAUACAAAGAGACCUUGAAGGUAUCCCUUUCUUUCCAGAUUGCAGACAUAGGGUGUGCUUGACAAAAAUAGUUGUUACCCGGUAGCUCGUACCCGGUAGCUGCAAGCUGAAAACUAUAACAUUUAUUUUUUAUAUGAGUGUUUGAAAAAAGUAGGUAGAAGCUUUUGAAGUAUGUAAAAUUACAUAAAAUGACAAUUGUUUUUAUAUAUAUAUAUAUAUAUAUAUAUAUANNNNUAUAUAUAUGUAGACAGUUGUGUAAAUUGAUUUAAAAAAGCCCAGUCGCAUUUUGUUAAAUGCAAUAUGAAUUAACUUGUAGAUUUGGAGCAUUUUGUUUAAAGUCGAAAAUAAACGCUCGUAUUGCUAAACGAAGUUUUUUGUUUAAAUUGGAACGUUUUGUCAAAAUUUACAAGCUCUCAAACACUCCCAAACGCUCCGUGCCAAACACGCCAACCAUGCACACGAAUGCAAACAAGUGUUUCCUUUUAUUUUGUUAACAUUCGAUCUCACACAAAAAGAAUAUAAGGUGCUCCCCAAUUUCCACUUUUGAUCCCAACAUCUAACCUAUGUUUGCAUUAAGCCCUUCAUCCUCUAUUUAUUUUCAAAAUAACCAAACAAUAAUUAGUAGCAGAUUUUUCCGUCUAUUUUCAAAUUCGAAAUAUUUCAAAAUACCCUUCUAACUUAUGACCUAACUAUUCAACACACAUCUCAUUUUAAAUAUAUAAACAAUUAAUUUACUUCAUUAUUCUAUUUCUUUCCUUUUAAUAAACUUUUGGGCUAUUAAAUUCUAUUUUUGCCCACCAGCAUGCCCUGAAAUUCUUAUGUACUUGAUCGUCUGAUGUUCGAUAUGAAAUUUGGGAUGUUGCCCAGUCUCUUCAAGAAAACCACCCAUCCAUGAGCUAAGUUAGUGUAAGCUAUGACGUUCACUCCAUGUUUACAGAUCAAAUUCAUAGAAGCUAGGUCAUCAAACGUAUUAUAAAAUUUGGGAUGUUACCCAAUCUAUUCAAGAAUACCACACAUCCACGACCUAAGCUAGCGUAAGCCUAUGAAGUUCACUAUAUGCUCAAAUAAAUAAUUCGUAGAAGCUAGGUCAUCAAACUUAAAAUUUAUCUCAUUUUGAUAUUGAGAACGAGAUGGUAUCACGACAAUAGGAGGAGACAAAUUAUGCUUCAGAUAAAAAAGGCCCCUAUAUUAACAAAUACUAUAUUCAACAUUUGGUACCUAAAAAUAUUUGAGAAAAUAAAAAAAUCGAAGCAACGAUAGCAAAUGGUUCGUAAAUUAAUAUCAAAUAACCAAUCCAAAUCCAUCUCAAGAGAAGCCAAACGAUCAGAAAGUUUCUUCUUCCCAUCAUGAUGAUAAUCCAAAUCCAUCUUAAGAGAAGCCCUAUAUAAACAAGUAAUGUACUCAACACUUGAUGCCAGGUGGACUUGAUUUUUAUAAUUUGCGGUUUUAAGAGUAUAAAAAGUAUUAGUAAUUAACACCUUAAAAAUGUCAAAUUUCAAUAACUUACAUAAACACUAACAAACUAAUAAAUUGAGUAAUUAACAAUUAACCACUUAACAAUCGACAUUUAAAUAGCUUAAUUUAAAAGUUCAGACAGCACCAAACGAAUUUUUUAAGAGUUUGAGACAUUUAAAACACCACUAAAUCAAUAAGCUAAGUAUUAAUGACUAACAUCUUAAAAACACCCUAUUUGUAAAAUUUAAAAAAAAAAAAAAAAAGACAACAACAACAUUUUUUUCUCCUACUAUUUUCCCUUUUUUUCUUUCGCUGUACAAAUUUGCUAUUCGAACUUUCUUUCCACUAACUAGACUACAAGGCAAGCAAAAUCAUUACGUACUCAACAAUUAAAAAAUUAUUAACCAUUAGAGUAUAUAAACAAAGAGAAACAAAUUUUUUUGUCGACUAUUUUAUAAAUAUGAUUCUUUUGUUUGGGAGUGAAAUUGUGUACUGUGUUAAUGUUAUAUCUUGGCUUGUCUUGUACAAGUGCAUAAAGCAUACAAAGUUAACAAACAUGGUAGCUCUUUGUGGUAAAUCUAACUAAUAUCCUAUCUAAUCUUUCUUCCGGUUGACCUUUAAAGUGAACGAAAACUGAUGAAGUUAACUAGGAAACCAAAUAUUUUGUAAUAUCAGUUGAUAAUGUUACGAGCUUUCUCUCUCUCUCUCUCUCACACACACACACACACACUCUCUCUCUCUCUCUCUCUCUCUCUCUCUCUCUCUCUCUCUCUCUCUCUCUCUCUCUCUCUCUCUCUCUCUCACAAAAAUGAGUGGUGAUCAAUGUGUAGCAUUUGGGUCCAAGACCUUGUGAUAGUGAUAUAUUACCAAUUACUACCCCCACAUGCUUUUGUUCCUUAACAAAAUUAAAAUAUAAGUUAUCAUUGAUGCAUUACAAGACCCAAUUGGGCCUUACUUGAAAACUACUCCUUCGUAUUAACAACGAACUAGUGAUUGGAUAUACGAAUAGAGUUAUAACAGUUUUUAACUAUUCUUGUAAUUACUUACACACCAUAGGAUCGCGUAAAUUAAAGCCAAUGAGUCCUAUGAUAAAUCUAUGCAAUUUUUCUUACCACAACUAAUUAAUAUGCAAAAUUGUUGCAUAAUGACAUAAAGUGAGAAUCAUAGAACACCCGUAGAAAUAGUAUGUUUAAUCCGUAUUAUGCAUUUUGAUCGUUACCAACAGGAAAAUGAAAAACACCUUGAUGUUUGAUUUUAGUUUCGCACAUCGGUGAUAUUCCUAGCUAUAUUGAUACUUCUUUUUUGAAAUUGAGAAGACACUUCACUUUUUUCUUAAAUAUUGACAAUGAAUUUUGUUUCUCCUUCAAGUGUAAACCUAUAUCGUCAAAAAAUAUACAUGGUAUUCCAAACAAGUCAAAUUUCAUAUUUUAUACAACUGGGACAAGUGACUCAGUCUCGCAUGUUGCAAAACGGUAUGUGAUCCGUGCUUUACAAAAAAGUGUUAUCAAACAGAAUGAUGUCAGUUGACUUCAAAAUGCUCCCAGGCCACUUGCAAGAUCAUAGAAUGUCUGCUCACUACACCGGAUUGUUAGGCCGCCCAUUGGAUGGUCAUAUCCAAACUCUUCCUCCGUCUCACGUAAUAAGUCCUGAAAUGAAGGCUGGCUUAACAAUGACACAGGAAUCACAAAACGCUUCUUUUCUUGCUCUCCAACAUAAACUGCAAAAUAUCCUUUGGGUAGAUCCGUGUCUGUUGUGCGGGUUCCAUUUGACAAAGACCGUUUUAGUAUCUGUCUUGCUUGAAUGAUCCGAGGCAUACGAAUACCCAUUUUUCUGAAGGUUUAUCACGGAGGGACAAAAGAAUUUGGGAGUAUUUUCUAAGUGAAAGAUGUACAGGAGGAGUUUGAAAGGAAAUUAUGCUGGUGCUUUGCCUAUCAUAUGCUAUAUAUAAAGGUUUAUUGGAGCUUCAAAUGUACAAUAAGUGAUAAAAAAGAAAUUAAAUGACAGAUCGGGACAUUGCGACUGGACGACAAGAUCAUGUGCUGUGUCUUUUCACUUGUAUAAUUAAAAGUACGAUCUUGAAUAGCACAACCACAAAAUCUCAAGCAAUAAUACGGCUUAAUCAUGUACUUGUGAAUAGAAACGAAUAUAACAAAGAAGAUGACUUGUAUCACCAGUAUUCUAAACUUAGUUGGGUAUGAAAAACGGUAGAAGGACCAUGGUCCCAUGGAAUAUUUAGUUGAAUGUGGCAAUGCCUCCCAACAAACAUAAUAUUGUGGCUAAGAUCUCUGGGGUUUUCAUGAAACAUAUGUGGCCCUAUCAUAAAUACAUGAAUUAGACAUUGGAUCUGUCUUACAGGUUGGAAGACAAAGCCAUGUGAGGUUGCCAUUUCUUCCACCGUAUGUCACCAUCCUCAAUCAAGAUCUGCUUAGUUGUAUCUCUGUAUAUAAAGACCAUUCCAUAUGAAUCACACAAUCACAACAUCUUCUGAAAUCCCUCGCACCCUUUCACCCAAAAGACGUGCUUCGAGAGUUUCCUUCCUCAAUCAGGCUUUUGAAGUGAACAGACACCCCCUCCUUAAAAAUGGCCAUCCUUUUCCCUCGGAUCAUUCAAGUAAAACAAAUUAUGCGGAGAUCAUUAUCCAAUGGAAGCGGCACUACUAAAUCUACGGACAUCCCGAAAGGCUAUUUAGCAAUCUAUGUUGGUGAGCAAGAAAAGAAGCGAUAUGUGGUUCCUGUAUGGUUGUUAAGCGAACCUGCUUUUCAAGAAUUACAAGAUCAGGCAGAACAAGAAUUUGGGUAUGUUCAUCAAAUGGGCGGCCUCACAAUUCCAUGCAGUGAAUAUACAUUCAGUGAUGUUGCUUCUCAGUUGGGCGCAUUAUGAGUUCUAUACAGCAUUCUUACAACCAACUAACCACUAGGUUUUUUUAUCAUUUGUAACUAAAUCGAGACAAUUUUUCCACUUGUAUGAAAUCGGAUUAAGGAACAGUUUGGAGUUCACUAUAAUUUGUUUAGUGUAUGAAUGAGAAACUAAUUUCACGGUUGAUUAUUUUGGAAAUAUGAAUUUUGGGAGUGAAAUGGAGUUUUAACAAAGAUAGUUGCUUCUAGUGGUAAAACGAACUAAUACCAACGAAUCUUUCUUCCAUUUUCAUAUUUUAGGUGAAUGAAACUAAGGGAAACCAAAUAUUUCGUAAUAUGAAUUGGUAAUUAUUGUUAUGUAUGCUGGAAUUUUAACUCAAUAAACAAUGUGGUAUUUAUCAAGUUCAGACUUAUCAUCAAAAAUAUAAUUGGUGAACAAUAUGUAGCACUUGGGUCGAUGACCUUGUGAUGGUGAUAUAUAAAACAUUAAAUCUCACAUGCUUUUGUUCUUUAAGCAAAUUAAUAUAUAAAUUGGCUAAACAUUGAUGCAUUACACGACGAAUUCGGUCCUGCUUUUAAGAACAAUUUCAUCGUAUGAAAAAAGAACCUGGUGAUUAGAUAUAUGAAUAACGUUAUAUCAAUGUUUAACUAUUCUUUUGAUUACUUAUACACCCAUAUAUCAUGUAAAUUAGAGCCAAUGAGUCAUGUUUUUACAACUAUGCAAUUUCCUUAUCACAACCCAUUAAUAUGUGAAAUUGUUGCAUACAGCAUUAACUGAGAAUCAUUGUAGAAUAUCCGUAGAAGUAUUAUGUUCAAUCAUGAUUAUGCACCAUGACCGUUACGUACAAGACAAUGAAAAAACAUUGAUAUUUGAUUUUGGUUCCUCAUAUCAGGUGUAAGCACAUGUUGUUAUUAGAUUAGCCAACAACCAAACAAAAAAAGUUUAGUAUUCGUAUAUUCAUAGUUUCUUUUUGUUGUUUUUUUUUAAUUGAGCAGACACUUCUUUUUUGAAAGAAAAAAAAUGUUGACAAUGAAUUUUGUUUCUCAUUCAAGCGUAAGCUUAUAUCGUCAAAUAAUAUAUGGGGUACUCCAAACAAGUGAAAAUUCAUGUUUAAUACAACAGGGACAAGUGACACAAUCUCGCAUGCAUGUUGCAAAAAGGUCGAUCAAUGCUUUACAAAAAUGUUAAAGCAAAUAGAAUGAUGUAACUUCACAUCAAAAUGCUCCUAGGCGACUUUGAAGAUCAAAGAAUGUCUUCUCACUACAACGGAUUUUAGGCCACCCAUUGGAUUGUAAUAUCGAAAUCCAAACUCUUCCUCCGCCAAACGAGUACAGUUCAUUAACAUCGAGGUCUAAGUAAUCUAAAGUAACAACUUAAUCUUCCCCAAUAUAAAUUUUUUACCAAAAGCUUAGAAUAAAAGUAUGUUGCUAUUUCUUGCAUUUAAACUUUUUUAAUGUUAAAAAUAAGUAUAUUAAAAAAAAUAACAACGUCAGCAAGUAGAUGAGAAAGAAGCGGAAUGCAACACCAAUCCAAUUUUAACCGAACAAUUUCAUUCUUUAGCUUUUGUCCCUUCUUUGUAAAUUACUUAGAACUAUCCCAUUUGCAUCAAUACACCUGUAGAUUUGUUUCCACAAUUCUUCUAACAUUUACAUACCAAUUCCACGUUAUAAUCAAAGUUUUACCUAGCCCAUUCCCUUUUCCAUUAUGUGUUUGAAUUUACAGUUCAAUUCCAAUUUGAAUAAAGGUUAGUAAUACUCAAAUCAGUCGCAUUCCAGAUAUUCAAGUUUUUGCCAUGCAAUCAUAUUUCUAAGCUCAUUAAAAAUAGUAAUACAUGAGUCCAAAUCCAAUUUCAAAAUUUAUUUAAAUAUAUUUGAAAAAUCAACUUACUAUAAUUUGGUUAUUUCCUCAAGAAUCUAACAAACUGAAGAACAACUGGAAUUUUGGGUUACCAAAUGUGAGAAAUCAUUCAUCUGUGUAACAUCCGGAUUCCCAUGUAUAUUAUUUUAUUCAUUUAUUUUUGCAGUUUGUGGAGGAACUCGGCGAGUUGGUGCCAAGACUCGCCGAGUAGGGUCGCGGAUGUUCAUCCGGGUUCACGUCCGGACUCGGCGAGUCCAUGGGUGGACUCAGUAAGUCCACGCUGUUUAAUGAAGCCCUAAUUUCCAGGGUUUGGGACCUAUUUAAAGGUCCUUAUGGCCGUCAAUAGCGGCUACCACACCCUAGAGAGAGACCUAGAUCGUUUGUGAGGUAAAGAGUGGCCAUUGUUGAUCUUUUGUUUGUGUGAAUUGAAGGAGAAGGUGAUCAAGGCAAGAGAAGGCUGCAGGAAGUGCAAAUCUUGUGAUUUCAAGGUUCAAGGGUUUCAUAUUGAGGUAUUCCUUCGGACUUUCUCUAGUUUUGGGUGGUUAUUCAUAAAGUUAGGGUUUUCAAACCCUUUAGAAGAUGAUUAUGUAGAGUAUUUGAUCCCUUCUUGAGUUUGUGCCUUGGAUCUGGACUCAAAGAGGUCCAGAGACCUUAACCCAUGGAGCUUUAUGAGUCAUUUUGGGGUUAAUGGACUUAGGUUGCCAUUUUUGGGGCUAAAUCACCAUUUGAUGCCAUUUUGUUGAUAUAUAAGCAUCAAGUUUCGAGAUUUACGUGACAUUCAUGCUUGGGAAGGCCAGAUCUAUGGUUUAGGGGAACAGAUCUGGCCUCAGGAGGUCAAUAGAGUUUGUGCAUGGCAUGAACUCGCCGAGUUGUUCUUGAGACUCGGCGAGUAGGGUUAGGAUUUCACGUAAAUCACUCGGUGAGUAGACUUGCCGAGUUGGGGGAUAACUCAGUGAUUCAGAAGGGGAUUAGAGGACUGGAGUUCGAGGCGAUACUCACCGAGUUGUUCUUGAGACUCGGCGAGUUGAGUCGGGGCGGCACCACGAUUCAUGCAAGGGGUGACUCGUCGAGCAUAGGGAGGGACUCGACGUACCAAGCGGGACAAAGAGUUAGUGGACAGGUGUGUACUCGCCGAGUCGCCAAAGUGCACUCGACGAGUUGGGUCAAAGUUUGACCGUUGACUUUAGUUGACUUUUAGGGUUUGGUCAACAAUGGAGUCUUUGAGUCGAAAGAGGGGUAAAAUAGUCUUUUACCCUUCUGAGGGUGCCAAUUGAGGGUUGAGUCUAGUCUCGAGAGUUAUAUUUAUGAGAGUAUUUACUUUAUGUGAAUAGGCGAAGGCUAGGCAAUAUUUCUACCGAGUCAGAGAUUUACCGAGACGUCUGCGGUGAGUCUUCUCACUAUACUUUACCUAGUGUGGUAACAGAGUUACGUGACAGAGUAUUUUAGAGUUAUAUGCCAAUGUAUUUGCAUGUUAUUUAUGUGUUUUGAUUUAUUGCGAUAUGUGAUAUGCAUGAUUCAGAGUUACAGAGUAAGGACCUUCGGGUCCAUUGAGUUAGGGUCGGAGGGCCCACAAAGAGUUGGGGCUGGAGGGCCCCACUGAGACACAUUGACCAGAGGGUCGACAAAGUUAUAGCCUCGAGUGGCUAUUAUGUGUUAGAGUGGUAUUUUGGGGAACUCACUAAGCAUUUAUGCUUACAGUGUUAUGUGUUAUGUGUUUCAGGUACCAAUGAUGAUCGCGGGAAGGCUCCAGCAUGAUUCGUACACACGCACAUUGGAGUUUAUAUAUUUUGAUCUUGGGGUUCUGUGCUGAUACAAUGUUGAUACAACGUUUUUAUUUAUGAAUGCAAAUGAUAUUUCAUGGUUUUUUAAAAGUGAAAAAUUGUUCAAAUUUUUACGGUGUUACAAUCUGUUAUAUGAUUUAUGUUCUCCUUUUCUUUUUCCCAUGUGGUUCGGUUCGCACUCAACAUAAUACAAAGAGACCUUGAAGGUAUCCCUUUCUUUCCAGAUUGCAGACAUAGGGUGUGCUUGACAAAAAUAGUUGUUACCCGGUAGCUCGUACCCGGUAGCUGCAAGCUGAAAACUAUAACAUUUAUUUGUUAUAUGANAUAUAUAUAUAUAUAUAUAUAUAUAUAGACAGUUGUGUAAAUUGAUUUAAAAAAGCCCAGUCGCAUUUUGUUAAAUGCAACAUGAAUUAACUUGUAGAUUUUGAGCAUUUUGUUUAAAGUCGAAAAUAAAUGCUUGUAUCGCUAAACGAAGUUUUUUGUUUAAAUUGGAACGUUUUUUCAAAAGAUACAAGCUCUCAAACACUCCCAAGCGCUCCGUGCCAAACACACCUACCAUGCAUAUAAAUGCAAACAAGCGUUUUCUUUUAUUUUGUUAAUAUUCGAUCUCACACAAAAAGAAAAUAAGGUGCUCCCCAAUUUCCACUUUUGAUACCAACAUCUAACCUAUGUUUGCAUUAAGCCCUUCAUCCUCUAUUUAUUUACAAACUGACCAAACAAUAAUAAGUAGCAGAUUUUUCCCUCUAAUUUCAAAUUCGAAAUAUUUCAAAAUACCCUUCUAAUUUAUGACAUAACUAUUCAACAUUUAUCUCAUUUUACAUAUAUAAACAAUUAAUUUACUUCACUAUUUUAUUAGUUUCCGUUUAAUAAACUUUUAGGCUAUUAAAUUCUAUUUUUCCCACCAGCAUGCCCUAAAAUUCUAAUAUACUUGAUCGUCUGAUGUUUGAUAUAAAAUUUGGGAUGUUGCCCAGUCUCUUCAAGAAAACCACCCAUCCACGACCUAAGUUAGUGUAAGCUAUGACGUUCACUCCAUGUUUACAGAUCAAAUUCAUAGAAGCUAGGUCAUCAAACGUAUUAUAAAAUUUGGGAUGUUACCAAUUCUCUUCAAGAAUACCACACAUCUACGACCUAAGCUAGUGUAAGCCUAUGAUGUUCACUACAUGCUCAAAUAAAUAAUUCGUAGAAGCUAGGUCAUCAAGCUUAAAAUUUAUCUCAUUUUGAUGUUGAGAACUAGAUGGUAUAACAACAAUAGGAGGAGGCAAAUCAUGCUUCAGAUAAAAAAGAGCCCUAUGUAAACAAAUACUAUAUUCAACAUUUGGUGCCUAAAAAUAUAUGAGCAAAUAAAAAAAUCGAAGCAACGAUAGCAAAUGGUUCGGAAAUUAAUAUCAAAUAACCAAUCCAAAUCCAUCUCAAGAGAAGCCCUAUAUAAACAAGUAAUGUACUCAAAACUUGAUGCCAUGUCGACUUGAUUUUUUUAAUUUGCGGUUUUAAGAGUUUAAAAAGUAUUAGUAAUUAACACCUUAAAAACGUCAAAUUUCAAUAAGUUACAUAAACACUAACAAACUAGUAAAUUGAGUAAUUAACAAUUAACCACUUAACAAUCCGACAUUUAAAUAGCUUAAUUUAAAAGUUCAAAUAGCACCAAACGAAUUUUUUAAGAGUUUGGGACAUUUAAAACACCACUAAAUCAAUAAGCUAAGUAUUAAUGACUAACAUCUUAAAAAUACCCAAUUUCUAAAAUUAAAAAAAAAAAAAAAAAGACAACAACAACAUUUUUUCUCCUACUAUUUUCCCUUUUUUCUUCCGAUGUACGAAUUUCCUAUUCGAACUUUCUUUCCACUAACUAGACUACAAGGCAAGAAAAAUCAUUACGUACUCAACAAAUAAAAAAUUAUUAACCAUUAGAGAAUAUAAACAAAGAGAAACAAAUUUUUUUGUCGACUAUUUUAUAAAUAUGAUUCUUUUGUUUGGGAGUGAAAUUGUGUACUGGGUUAAUGUUAUAUCUUGGCUUGUCUUGUACAAGUGCAUAAAGCAUACAAAGUCAACAAAAAUGGUAGCUCUUUGUGGUAAAUCUAACUAAUAUACUAUCUAAUCUUUCUUCCUGUUGACCUUUAAAGUGAACGAAAGCUGAUGAAGUUAAUUAGGAAACCAAAUAUUUUGUAAUAUCAGUUGAUAAUGUUACGAGCUCUCUCUCUCUCUCUCUCUCUCUCUCUCUCUNCUCUCUCUCUCUCUCUCUCUCUCUCUCUCUCUCUCUCUCUCUCUCACAAAAAUGAGUGGUGAUCAAUGUGUAGCAUUUGGGUCCAAUACCUUGUGAUAGUGAUAUAUUACCAAUUACUACCCCCACAUGCUUUUGUUCCUUAACAAAAUUAAAAUAUAAGUUAUCAUUGAUGCAUUACAAGACCCAAUUGGGCCUUACUUGAAAACUACUCCUUCGUAUAAACAACGAACUAGUGAUUGGAUAUACGAAUAGAGUUAUAACAGUUUUUAACUAUUCUUGUAAUUACUUACACACCAUAGGAUUGCCAAAAUUAAAGCCAAUGAGUCCUAUGAUAAAUCUAUGAAAUUUUUCUUACCAUAACUAAUUAAUAUGCAAAAUUGUUGCAUAAUGACAUAAACUCAGAAUCAUAGAACACCCGUAGAAAUAGUAUGUUUAAUCCGUAUUAUGCAUUUUGAUCGUUACCAACAGGAAAAUGAAAAACACCUUGAUGUUUGAUUUUAGUUUCGCACAUCGGUGAUAUUCCUAGCUAUAUUGAUACUUCUUUUUUGAUAUUGAGCAGACACUUCGGUUUUUUCUUAAAUAUUGACAAUGAAUUUUGUUUCUCCUUCAAGUGUAAACUUAUAUCGUCAAAAAAUAUACAUGGUAUUCCUAACAAGUCAAAAUUCAUAUUUUAUACACCUGGGACAAGUUACUCAGGCUCGCAUGUUGCAAAACGGUAUGUGAUCCGUGCUUUACAAAAAAGUGUUAGCAAACAGAAUGAUGUCAGUUGACUUCAAAAUGCUCCCAGGCCACUUGCAAGAUCAUAGAAUGUCUGCUCACUACACCGGAUUGUUAGGCCGCCCAUUGGAUGGUCAUAUCCAAACUCUUCCUCCGUCUCACGUAAUAAGUCCUGAAAUGAAGGCUGGCUUAACAAUGACACAGGAAUCACAAAACGCUUCUUUUCUUGCUCUCCAACAUAAACUGCAAAAUAUCCUUUCGGUAGAUCCGUUUCUGUUGUGCGGGUUCCAUUUGACAAAGACCGUUUUAGUAUCUGUCUUGCUUGAAUGAUCUGAGGCAUACGAAUACCCAUUUUUCUGGAGGGACACAAGAAUUUGGGAGUAUUCUCUAAGUGAAAGAUGUACAGGAGGAGUUUGCAGAGGAAAUUAUGCUGGUGCUUUGCUUAUCAUCGCUAUAUAUAAAGGUUUAUUGGAGCUUCAAAUGUACCAUAAUUGAUAAAAAGGAAAUUAAAUGACAGAUGGGGCAUUGCGACCGGAAGACAAGAUCAUGUGCCGCUGUCUUUUCACUUGUGUUAUUAAAAGUAUCAUCUUGAAUUGCACAACCACAAAGUCACAAACAAUAAUAUGGCUUAAUCAUUUACUUUUAAAAAGAAACGAAAUUUAACAAAGAAGAUAACUUGUAUCACCAGUAUUCUAAGCUUAGGUGGGUAUGAAAAACGGAAGAAGCACCAUGGUCCCAUGUAAUAUUAAGAUGAAUGUGGCAAUGCCUCCCAACAAGCGCGAAAUUGUGGCUAAGAUCUCUGGGGUUUUCAUGAAACAUAUGUGGCCCUCUCAUAAAUACAUGAAUUAGACAUUGGAUCUGUCUUACAGGUUGGAAGACAAAGCCAUGUUGUGAGGUUGCCAUUUCUUCCACCGUAUGUCACCUUCCUCAAUCAAGAUCUGCUUAGUUGUAUCUCUGUAUAUAAAGACCAUUCCAUAUGAAUCACACAAUCACAACAUCUUCUGAAAUCCCUCGCACCCUUUCACCCUAAAGACGUGCUUCAAGAGUUUCCUUCCUCAAUCAGGCUUUUGAAGUGAACAGACACCCGCUCCUUAAAAAUGGCCAUCCUUUUCCCUCGGAUCAUUCAAGUAAAACAAAUUCUGCGGAGAUCAUUAUCCAAUGGAAGCGGCACUACAAAAUCUACGGACAUCCCGAAAGGCUAUUUAGCAAUCUAUGUUGGUGAGCAAGAAAAGAAGCGAUAUGUGGUUCCUGUAUGGUUGUUAAGCGAACCUGCUUUUCAAGAAUUACUAGAUCAGGCAGAACAAGAAUUUGGGUAUGUUCAUCAAAUGGGCGGCCUCACAAUUCCAUGCAGUGAAUAUACAUUCAGUGAUGUUGCUUCUCAGUUGGGCGCAUUAUGAGUUCUAUACAGCAUUCUUACAACCAACUAACCACUAGGUUUUUUUAUCAUUUGUAACUAAAUCGAGACAAUUUUUCCACUUGUAUGAAAUCGGAUUAAGGAACAGUUUGGAGUUCACUAUAAUUUGUUUAGUGUAUGAAUGAGAAACUAAUUCACCGUUGAUUAUUUUGUAAAUAUGAAUUUUCGGAAAGAAACAGAGUUUUAACAAAGAUAGUUGCUUCUAGUGGUAAACCGAACUAAUACCAACUAAUCUUUCUUCCAUUUGACAUUUUAGGUGAAUGAAACUAAGGGAAACCAAAUAUUUCGUAAUAUGAAUUGGUAAUAAAUGUUAUGUAUGCUGGAAUUUUAACUCUAUAAACAUUGUGGUAUUUAUCAAGUUCAGACUUAUCAUCAAAAAUAUAAUUGGUAAACAAUAUGUAGCACUUGGGUCGAUGACCUUGUGAUGGUGAUAUGUAAAACAUUAAAUCUCACAUGCUUUUGUUCUUUAAGCAAAUUAAUAUAUAAGUUGGCUAAACAUUGAUGCAUUACACGAUGGAUUGGGUCCCGGUUGAAAACAAUUUCAUCGUAUGAAAAAAGAACCUGGUGAUUAGAUAUAUGAAGAGCGUUAUAUCAAUGUUUAAGUAUUCUUUUGAUUACUUAUACACCCAUAUAUCAUGUAAAUUAGAGCCAAUGAGUCAUGUUUUUACAACUAUGCAAUUUCCUUAUCACAACCCAUUAAUAUCAGAAAUUGUUGCAUACAACAUUAAAUUAACUGAGAAUCAUCGUGUAGAAGUAUUAUGUUCAAUCAUGAUUAUGCACUAUGACCGUUACGUACAAGACAAUGAAAAAACAUUGAUAUUUGAUUUUGGUUCCUCAUUUCAGGUGUAAGCACAUGUUAUUAGAUUAGCCAACAACAGACCAAAAAAAGUAUAGUACGUGUAUAUAUAUUCACAUUAUUUUUUUAAUUGAGCUGACACUUCUUUUUUGUAAGAAAAAAAUGUUGACAAUGAAUUUUGUUUCUCAUUCAUAUAUAAGCUUAUAUCGUCAAAUAAUAUAUGGGGUACUCCAAACAAGUGAAAAUUCAUGUUUUGUACAAGAGGGACAAGUGACAUAAUCUCACAUGCAUGUUGCAAAAAGGUCGAUCAAUGCUUUACAAAAAUGUGUAAGCAAACAGAAAACUGGACUUCAAAAUGCUCCCAGGCGACUUUGAAGUUCAAACAAUGUCUUCUCACUACAAAGGAUUUUAGGCCACCCAUUCGAUUGUCAUAUCGAAAUCCAAACUCUUCCUCCGCCUAACGAGCACUGUUCAUGAACAUCGAUGUCUAAAUAAUCUCAAGUAACAAGUUAAUCUUCCUUUAUUCAAAGUUUUUACCAAAUGCUUAGAAUAAAAGUAUGUUGCUAUUUCUUGCAUUUAAACUGUUUUAAUGUCAAAAAUAAUUAUAUUAAAAAAAAUAACAAUGUCAGCAAGUAGAUGAGAAAGAAGCAGAAUAAAACACCAAUCCAAUUUUAACGGAACAAUUUCAUUCUUUCAACUUGUUAAGCUUUUGUCCCUUCUUUGUAAAUUACUUAGAAUUGUCCCAUUUGCAUCAAUACACAUGUAGAUUUGUUUCCACAAUUCUUCUAACAUUUACAUACCAAUUCCACGUUAUAAUCAAAGUUUUACCUAGCCCAUUCCCUUUUCCAUUAUGUGUUUGAAUUUAUAGUUCAAUUCCAAUUUGACUAAAGGUUAGUAAUACUCAAAUCAGUCGCAUUCCAGAUAUUCAAGUUUUUGCCAUGCAAUCAUAUUUUUAAGCUCAUUACAAAUAGUAAUACAUGAGUCCAAAUCCAAUUUAAAAAUUUAUUUAAAUAUAUUUGAAAAAUCAACUUACUAUAAUUUGGUUAUUUCCUCAAGAAUCUAACAAACUGAAGAACAACUGGAAUUUUGGGUUACCAAAUGUGAGAAAUCACUCAUCUAUUAUAUGAUUUAUGUUCUCCUUUUCUUUUUCCCCUUUCUCUGGUUCGGUUCGCACUCAACAUAAUACAAAGAGACCUUGAAGGUAUCCCUUUCUUUCCAGAUUGCAGACAUAGGGUGUGCUUGACAAAAAUAGUUGUUACCCGGCAGCUCGUACCCGGUAGCUGCAAGCUGAAAACUAUAACAUUUAUUUGUUAUAUGAGUGUUUGAAAAAAGUAGCUUGAAGCUUUUGAAGUAUGUAAAUUAUAUAAAAUGACAAUUGUUUAUAUAUAUAUAUAUAUAUAUANNNNNNNNNNNNNNNNNNNNNNNNNNNNNNNNNNNNNNNNNNNNNNNNNNNNNNNNNNNNNNNNNNNNNNNNNNNNNNNNNNNNNNNNNNNNNNNNNNNNNNNNNNNNNNNNNNNNNNNNNNNNNNNNNNNNNNNNNNNNNNNNNNNNNNNNNNNNNNNNNNNNNNNNNNNNNNNNNNNNNNNNNNNNNNNNNNNNNNNNNNNNNNNNNNNNNNNNNNNNNNNNNNNNNNNNNNNNNNNNNNNNNNNNNNNNNNNNNNNNNNNNNNNNNNNNNNNNNNNNNNNNNNNNNNNNNNNNNNNNNNNNNNNNNNNNNNNNNNNNNNNNNNNNNNNNNNNNNNNNNNNNNNNNNNNNNNNNNNNNNNNNNNNNNNNNNNNNNNNNNNNNNNNNNNNNNNNNNNNNNNNNNNNNNNNNNNNNNNNNNNNNNNNNNNNNNNNNNNNNNNNNNNNNNNNNNNNNNNNNNNNNNNNNNNNNNNNNNNNNNNNNNNNNNNNNNNNNNNNNNNNNNNNNNNNNNNNNNNNNNNNNNNNNNNNNNNNNNNNNNNNNNNNNNNNNNNNNNNNNNNNNNNNNNNNNNNNNNNNNNNNNNNNNNNNNNNNNNNNNNNNNNNNNNNNNNNNNNNNNNNNNNNNNNNNNNNNNNNNNNNNNNNNNNNNNNNNNNNNNNNNNNNNNNNNNNNNNNNNNNNNNNNNNNNNNNNNNNNNNNNNNNNNNNNNNNNNNNNNNNNNNNNNNNNNNNNNNNNNNNNNNNNNNNNNNNNNNNNNNNNNNNNNNNNNNNNNNNNNNNNNNNNNNNNNNNNNNNNNNNNNNNNNNNNNNNNNNNNNNNNNNNNNNNNNNNNNNNNNNNNNNNNNNNNNNNNNNNNNNNNNNNNNNNNNNNNNNNNNNNNNNNNNNNNNNNNNNNNNNNNNNNNNNNNNNNNNNNNNNNNNNNNNNNNNNNNNNNNNNNNNNNNNNNNNNNNNNNNNNNNNNNNNNNNNNNNNNNNNNNNNNNNNNNNNNNNNNNNNNNNNNNNNNNNNNNNNNNNNNNNNNNNNNNNNNNNNNNNNNNNNNNNUGCCCAUCAUGAUGAACAUCCAAAUCCAUCUCAGGAGAAGCCCUAUAUAAACAAGUAAUGUACUCAACACUUGAUGCCAUGUGGACUUGAUUUUUUUUAAUUUGCGGUUUUAAGAGUUUAAAAAGUAUAAGUAAUUAACACCUUAAAAACGUCAAAUUUCAAUAACUUACAUAAACACUAACAAACUAAUAAAUUGAGUAAUUAACAAUUAACCACUUAACAAUCGACAAUUAAAUAGCUUAAUUUAAAAGUUCAGAUAGCACCAAACGAAUUUUUUAAGAGUUUGAGACAUUUAAAACACCACUAAAUCAAUAAGCUAAGUAUUAAUGACUAACAUCUUAAAAACACCCAAUUUUUAAAAUUAAAAAAAAAAAAAAAAAAAAAAAAAAAAAAAAAAACAUUUUUGUUUNACUGUUUUCCCUUUUUUCUUCCGCUGUACAAAUUUGCUAUUCGAACUUUCUUUCCACUAACUAGGCUACAGGGCAAGCAAAAUCAUUACAUACUCAACAGUUAAAAAAUUAUUAACAAUUAGAGAAUAUAAACAAAGAGAAACAAAUUUUUUUGUCGACUAUUUUAUAAAUAUGAUUCUUUUGUUUGGGAGUGAAAUUGUGUACUGUGUUAAUGUUAUAUCUUGGCUUGUCUUGUACAAGUGCAUAAAACAUACAAAGUCAACAAAAAUGGUAGCUCUUUGUGGUAAAUCUAAGUAAUAUACUAUCUAAUCUUUCUUCCCGUUGACCUUUAAAGUGAACGAAAGCUGAUGAAGUUAACUAGGAAACCAAAUAUUUUGUAAUAUCAGUUGAUAAUAUUACGAGCUCUCUCUCUCUCUCUCUCUCUCUCUCUCUCUCUCUCUCUCUCUCUCUCUCNNNNNNNNNNNNNNNNNNNNNNNNNNNNNCUCUCUCUCUCUCUCUCUCUCUCUCUCUCUCUCUCACAAAAAUGAGUGGUGAUCAAUGUGUAGCAUUUGGGUCCAAGACCUUGUGAUAGUGAUAUAUUACCAAUUACUACCCCCACAUGCUUUUGUUCCUUAACAAAAUUAAAAUAUAAGUUAUCAUGCCUUACUUGAAAACUACUCCUUCGUAUUAACAACGAACUAGUGAUUGGAUAUACGAAUAGAGUUAUAACAGUUUUUAACUAUUCUUGUAAUUACUUACACACCAUAGGAUCGCGUAAAUUAAAGCCAAUGAGUCCUAUGAUAAAUCUAUGCAAUUUUUCUUACCACAACUAAUUAAUAUGCAAAAUUGUUGCAUAAUGACAUAAAGUGAGAAUCAUAGAACACCCGUAGAAAUAGUAUGUUUAAUCCGUAUUAUGCAUUUUGAUCGUUACCAACAGGAAAAUGAAACACACCUUGAUGUUUGAUUUUAGUUUCGCACAUCGGUGAUAUUCCUAGCUAUAUUGAUACUUCUUUUUUGAAAUUGAGCAGACACUUCGGUUUUUUCUUAAAUAUUGACAAUGAAUUUUAUUUCUCCUUCAAGUGUAAACCUAUAUCGUCAAAAAAUAUACAUGGUGUUCCAAACAAGUCAAAAUUCAUAUUUUAUACAACUGGGACAAGUGACUCAGUCUCGCAUGUUGCAAAACGGUAUGUGAUCCGUGCUUUACAAAAAAGUGUUAUCAAACAGAAUGAUGUCAGUUGACUUCAAAAUGCUCCCAGGCCACUUGCAAGAUCAUAGAAUGUCUGCUCACUACACCGGAUUGUUAGGCCGCCCAUUGGAUGGUCAUAUCCAAACUCUUCCUCCGUCUCACGUAAUAAGUCCUGAAAUGAAGGCUGGCUUAACAAUGACACAGGAAUCACAAAACGCUUCUUUUCUUGCUCUCCAACAUAAACUGCAAAAUAUCCUUUCGGUAGAUCCGUUUCUGUUGUGCGGGUUCCAUUUGACAAAGACCGUUUUAGUAUCUGUCUUGCUUGAAUGAUCCGAGGCAUAUGAAUACCCAUUUUUCUGAAGGUUUAUCACGGAGGGACAAAAGAAUUUGUGAGUAUUCUCUAAGUGAAAGAUGUACAGGAGGAGUUUGCAGAGGAAAUUAUGCUGGUGCUUUGCUUAUCAUACGCUAUAUAUAAAGGUUUAUUGGAGCUUCAAAUGUACCAUAAUUGAUAAAAAGGAAAUUAAAUGACAGAUGGGGCAUUGCGACCGGAAGACAAGAUCAUGUGCCGCUGUCUUUUCACUUGUGUUAUUAAAAGUAUCAUCUUGAAUUGCACAACCACAAAGUCACAAACAAUAAUAUGGCUUAAUCAUUUACUUUUAAAAAGAAACGAAAUUUAACAAAGAAGAUAACUUGUAUCACCAGUAUUCUAAGCUUAGGUGGGUAUGAAAAACGGAAGAAGCACCAUGGUCCCAUGUAAUAUUAAGAUGAAUGUGGCAAUGCCUCCCAACAAGCGCGAAAUUGUGGCUAAGAUCUCUGGGGUUUUCAUGAAACAUAUGUGGCCCUCUCAUAAAUACAUGAAUUAGACAUUGGAUCUGUCUUACAGGUUGGAAGACAAAGCCAUGUUGUGAGGUUGCCAUUUCUUCCACCGUAUGUCACCUUCCUCAAUCAAGAUCUGCUUAGUUGUAUCUCUGUAUAUAAAGACCAUUCCAUAUGAAUCACACAAUCACAACAUCUUCUGAAAUCCCUCGCACCCUUUCACCCUAAAGACGUGCUUCAAGAGUUUCCUUCCUCAAUCAGGCUUUUGAAGUGAACAGACACCCGCUCCUUAAAAAUGGCCAUCCUUUUCCCUCGGAUCAUUCAAGUAAAACAAAUUCUGCGGAGAUCAUUAUCCAAUGGAAGCGGCACUACAAAAUCUACGGACAUCCCGAAAGGCUAUUUAGCAAUCUAUGUUGGUGAGCAAGAAAAGAAGCGAUAUGUGGUUCCUGUAUGGUUGUUAAGCGAACCUGCUUUUCAAGAAUUACUAGAUCAGGCAGAACAAGAAUUUGGGUAUGUUCAUCAAAUGGGCGGCCUCACAAUUCCAUGCAGUGAAUAUACAUUCAGUGAUGUUGCUUCUCAGUUGGGCGCAUUAUGAGUUCUAUACAGCAUUCUUACAACCAACUAACCACUAGGUUUUUUUAUCAUUUGUAACUAAAUCGAGACAAUUUUUCCACUUGUAUGAAAUCGGAUUAAGGAACAGUUUGGAGUUCACUAUAAUUUGUUUAGUGUAUGAAUGAGAAACUAAUUCACCGUUGAUUAUUUUGUAAAUAUGAAUUUUCGGAAAGAAACAGAGUUUUAACAAAGAUAGUUGCUUCUAGUGGUAAACCGAACUAAUACCAACUAAUCUUUCUUCCAUUUGACAUUUUAGGUGAAUGAAACUAAGGGAAACCAAAUAUUUCGUAAUAUGAAUUGGUAAUUAAUGUUAUGUAUGUUGGAAUUUUAACUCUAUAAACAUUGUGGUAUUUAUCAAGUUCAGACUUAUCAUCAAAAAUAUAAUUCGUAAACAAUAUGUAGCACUUGGGUCAAUGACCUUGUGAUGGUGAUAUAUAAAACAUUAAAUCUCACAUGCUUUUGUUCUUUAAGCAAAUUAAUAUAUAAGUUGGCUAAACAUUGAUGCAUUACACGACGAAUUGGGUCCCGGUUGAAAACAAUUUCAUCGUAUGAAAGAAGAACCUGGUGAUUAGAUAUAUGAAUAGCGUUAUAUCAAUGUUUAAGUAUUCUUUUGAUUACUUAUACACCCAUAUAUCAUGUAAAUUAGAGUCAAUGAGUCAUGUUUUUACAACUAUGCAAUUUCCUUAUCACAACCCAUUAAUAUCUGAAACUGUUGCAUACAUCAUUAAAUUAGAAUAUCCAUAAAAGUAUUAUGGUCAAUCAUGAUUAUGCACUAUGACCGUUACGUACAAGACAAUGAAAAAACAUUGAUAUUUGAUUUUGGUUCCUCAUAUCAGGUGUAAGCACAUGUUAUUAGAUUAGCCAACAACCGAACAAAAAAAGUAUAGUAUACGUAUAUAUAUUCACAAUUUUUUUUUAAUUGAGCAGACACUUCUUUUUUGAAAGAAAAAAAAUGCUGACAAUGAAUUUUGUUUCUCAUUCAAGUAUAAGCUUAUAUCGUCAAAUAAUAUAUGGGGUACUCCAAACAAGUGAAAAUUCAUGUUUUAUACAACAAGGACAAGUGACAUAAUCUCGCAUGCAUGUUGUAAAAAGGUCGAUCAAUGCUUUACAAAAAUGUGUAAGCAAGCAGAAUGAUGUAACUCGACUUCAAAAUGCUCCCAGGCGACUUUGAAGAUCAAACAAUGUCUUCUCACUACAACGGAUUUUAGGCCACCCAUUGGAUUGUCAUAUCGAAAUCCAAACUCUUCCUCCGCCUAACGAGCACAGUUCAUGAACAUCGAGGUCUAAAUAAUCUCAAAUAACAAGUUAAUCUUCCCUUAUUCAAAGUUUUUAGCAAAUGCUUAGAAUAAAAGUAUGUUGCCAUUUCUUGCAUUUAAACUUUUUUAACGUCUCUAUUUCAAAAAAAAAAAAAAACUUUUUUAAUGUCAAAAAUAAUUAUGUUAAAAAAAAAACAAAGUCAGCAAGUAGAUGAGAAAGAAGCAGAAUACAACACCAAUCCAAUUUUAACCUAACAAUUUCAUUCUUUCAACUUGUUAAGCUUUUGUCCCUUCUUUGUAAAUUACUUAGAAUUGUCCCAUUUGCAUCAAUACACUUGUAGAUUUGUUUCCACAAUUCUUCUAACCUUUUCAUACCAAUUCCACGUUAUCAUCAAAGUUUUACCUAGCCCAUUCCCUUUUCCAUUACGUGUUUGAAUUUACGUUUCAAUUCUAAUUUGAAUAAAGGUUAGUAAUACUCAAAUUAGUCGCAUUCAUGAUAUUCAAGUUUUUGCCAUGCAAUCAUAUUUCUAAGCUCAUUGAAAAUUGUAAUACAUGAGUCCAAAUCCAAUUUCAAAAUUUAUUCAAAUAUAUUUGAAAAAUGAACUUACUAUAAUUUGGUUAUUUCCUCAAGAAUCUAACAAACUGAAGAACAACUGGAAUUUUGGGUUACCAAAUGUGAGAAAUCACUCAUUUGUUAUAUGAUUUAUGUUCUCCUUUUCUUUUUCCCAUUUCUCUGGUUCGAUUCGCACUCAACAUAAUACAAAGAAACCUUGAAGGUAUCCCUUUCUUUCCAGAUUGCAGACGUAGGGUGUGCUUGACAAAAAUACUUGUUAUCCGGUAGCUGAAAGUUGAAAGCUAUAACAUUUAUUUGUUAUAUGAGUGUUUGAAAAAAGUAGCUAGAAACUUUUGAAGUAUGUAAAAUUACAUAAAAUGACAAUUGUUUAUAUAUAUAUAUAUANAUAUAUAUAUAUAUAUAUGUAGACAGUUGUGUAAAUUGAUUUAAAAAAGCUCAGUCGCAUUUUGUUAAAUGCAACAUCAAUUAACUUGUAGAUUUGGAGCAUUUUGUUUAAAGUCAAAAAUAAAUACUCGUAUUGCUAAACGAAGUUUUUUGUUUAAAUUGGAACGUUUUUUCAAAAGAUACAAGCUCUCAAACACUCCCAAACGCUCUGUGCCAAACACACCAACCAUGCAUACAAAUGCAAACAAGCGUUUUCUUUUAUUUUGUUAACAUUCGAUCUCACACAAAAGAAAAUAAGGUGCUCUCCAAUUUCCACAUUUGAUACCAACAUCUAACCUAUGUUUGCAUUAAGCCUUUCAUCCUCUAUUUAUUUUCAAAAUGACCAAACAAUAAUUAGUAGCAGAUUUUUCCCUCUAUUUUCAAAUUCGAAAUAUUUCAAAAUACACUUCUAACUUGUGACCUAACUAUUCAACACACAUCUCAUUUUAAAUAUAUAAACAAUUAAUUUACUUCAUUAUUCUAUUAGUUUCCGUUUAAAAAACUUUUGGGCUAUUAAAUUCUAUUUUUGCCCACCAGCAUGCCCUAAAAUUCUUAUAUACUUGAUCGUCUGUUGUUCGAUAUGAAAUUUGGGAUGUUUCCCAGUCUCUUCAAGAAAACCACCCAUCCAUGAUCUAAGUUAGUGUAAGCUAUGACGUUCACUCCAUGUUUACAGAUCAAAUUCAUAGAAGCUAGGUCAUCAAAGAUAUUAUAAAAUUUGGGAUGUUACCAAAUCUCUUCAAGAAUACCACCCAUAUACGACCUAAGCUAGUGUAAGCCUAUGAAGUUCACUACAUGCUCAAAGAAAUAAUUCGUAGAAGCUAGGUCAUCAAGCGUAAAAUUUAUCUCAUUUUGAUGUUGAGAACGAGAUGGUAUCAGGACAACAAGUGGAGGCAAAUCAUGCUUCAAACAAAAAAGAGCCCUAUAUAAACAAAUACUAUAUUCAACAUUUAGUGCCUAAAAAUAUUUGAGCAAAUAAAAAAAUCGAAGCAAUGAUAGCAAAUGGUUCGAAAAUUAAUAUCAAAUAACCAAUCCAAAUCCCUCUCAAGAGAAGCCUAAUAAAUUGAGUAAUUAACAAUUAAACAUUUAACAAUACGACGUUUAAAUAGCUUAAUCUAAAAGUUAACACACCACGAAACGAAUUUUUUAAGAGUUUGAGACAUUUAAAACACCACUAAAUCAAUAAGCUAAGUAUUAACGACUAACAUCUUAAAAACACCCAAUUUCUAAAAUUAAAAAAAAAAAAAAAAAAAAAAAAACAUUUUUGUCUCCUACUAUUUUCCCUUUUUUCUUCCGAUGUACCAAUUUGCUAUUCGAACUUUCUUUCCACUAACUAGACUACAAGGCAAACAAAAUCAUUACAUACUCAACAAUUAAAAUAUUAUUAACUAUUAGAGAAUAUAAACAAAGAGAAACAAAUUUUUUGUCGACUAUUUUAUAAAUAUGAUUCUUUUGUUUGGGAAUGAAAUUGUGUACUGUGUUUAAGGUUAUAUCUUGGCUUGUCUUGUACAAGUGCAUAAAGCAUACAAAGUUAACAAAAAUAGUAGCUCUUUGUGGUAAAUCCAACUAAUAUACUAUAUAAUCUUUCUUCUGGUUGACCUUUAAAGUGAACGAAAGCUGAUGAAGUUAACUAGGAAACAAAAUAUUUUGUAAUAUCACUUGAUAAUGUUACUCUCUCUCUCUCUCUCUCUCUCUCUCUCUCUCUCUCUCUCUCUCUCUCUCUCUCUCUCUCUCUCUCUCUCUCUCUCAAAAAUGAGUGGUGAUCGAUGUGUAGCAUUUGGGUCCAACACCUUGUGAUAGUGAUAUAUUACCAACUACUACCCCCACAUGCUUUUGUUCCUUAACAAAAUUAAAAUAUAAGUUAUCAUUGAUGCAUUACAAAACCCAAUUAGGCCUUACUUGUAAACUUCUCCUACGUAUGAACAACGAACUAGUGAUUGGAUAUACGAAUAAAGUUAUAAAAGUUUUUAACUUUUCUUGUAAUUACUUACACACCAUUGGAUCGCGUAAAUUAAAGCCAAUGAGUCUUACGAUAAAUCUAUGCAAUUUUUCUUAUCACAACUAAUUAAUAUGCAAAAUUGUCGCAUAAUGACAUAAACUGAGAAUCAUAGAACACCCGUAGAAAUAGUAUGUUUAAUCCGUAUUAUGCAUUUUGAUCGUUACCAACAGGAAAAUGAAAAACACCUUGAUGUUUGAUUUUAGUUUCGCACAUUGGUGAUAUUCCUAGCUAUAUUGAUACUUCUUUGUUGAAAUUGAGCAAACACUUCGGUUUUUUCUUAAAUAUUGACAAUGAAUUUUGUUUCUCCUUCAAGUGUAAACCUAUAUCGUGAAAUAAUAUCCAUGGUAUUCCAAACAAGUCAAAAUUCAUAUUUUAUACAACUGGGACAAGUGACUCAGUCUCGCAUGUUGCAAAAUGGUAUGUGAUCCGUGCUUUACAAAAAAAAGUGUUAGCAAACUGAAGGAUGUCAGUUGACUUCAAAAUGCUCCUAGGCCACUUGCAAGAUCAUAGAAUGUCUGCUCACAACACCGGAUUGUUAGGUCGCCCAUUGGAUGGUUAUAUCCAAACUCUUCCUCCGUCUCACGUAAUAAGUCCUGAAAUGAAGGCUGGCUUAACAAUGUCACAGGAAUCACAAAACGCUUAUUUUCUCGCUCUCCAACAUAAACUGCAAAAUAUCCUUUCAGUAGAUCCGUUUCUGUUGUGCGGGUUCCAUUUGACAAAAACCGCUUUAGUAUCUGUCUUGCUUGAAUGAUCCGAGGCAUACGAAUACCCUUUUUUCUGAAGGUUUAUCACGGAGGGACAAAAGAAUUUGGGAGUAUUCUCUAAGUGAAAGAUGUACAGGAGGAGUUUGAGAGGAAAUUAUGCUGGUGCUUUACCUAUCAUAUGCAAUAUAUAAAGGUUUAUUGGAUCUUCAAAUGUACAAUAAGUGAUAAAAAAGAAAUUAAAUGACAGAUGGGGACAUUGCGACUGGAAGACAAGAUCAUGUGCCGUGUCUUUUCACUUGUAUAAUGAAAAGUAUGAUCAUCUUGAAUUGAACAACCACACAGUCACAAGCAAUAAUAUGGCUUACUCAUGUACUUGUAAAUAGAAACAAAAUUUAACAAAGAAGAUAACUUGUAUCACCAGUAUUCUAAACUUAGUUGGGUAUGAAGAACGGUAGAAGCACCGUGGUCCCAUGUAAUAUUAAGAUGAAUGUGGCAAUGCCUCCCAACAAGCAUGAAAUCGUGGCUAAGAUCUCUGAGGUUUUCUUGAAACAUAUGUGGCCUUAUCAUUAAUACAAGAGUUAGACAUUGGAUCUGUCUUACAGGUUGGAAGACAAAGCCAUGUGAGGUUGCCUUUUCUUCAUCCGUAUGUCACCAUCCUCAAUCAAGAUCUCCUUGUAUCUCUGUAUAUAAAUACCAUUCCAUAUGAGUCACACAACCAUGACUUCCUCUGAAAUCAUUCGUACCUUUUCACCUAGAAGACGUGCUUUGAGAGUUUCCUUCCUCAAUCAGGCUUUUGAAGUGAACAGACACACCCUCCUUAAAAAUGGCCAUCCUUUUUCCUCGGAUCAUUCAAGCAAAACAAAUUCUCCGAAGAUCAUUAUCCAAUGGAAGCAGCACAACCAAAUCUAUGGACAUCCCAAAAGGCUAUUUAGCAAUCUAUGUUGGUGAGCAAGAGAAGAAGUGAUAUGUGGUUCCUGUAUGGUUGUUAAGUGAACCUGCUUUUCAAGAAUUACUAGAUCAGGCAGAAAAAGAAUUUGGAUAUGUUCAUCAAAUGGGCGGCCUCACUAUUCCAUGCAGUGAAUAUACAUUCAGUGAUAUUGCUUCUCAGUUGGGCGCAUUAUGGCUUCUAUACAGCAUUCUUACAACCAACUAACCACUAGGUUUUUUUUUAUCAUUUGUAACUAAAUCGAAACAAUUUUCCCACUUGUAUGAAAUCGGAUCAAGGAACCGUUUUGAGUUCACUAUAAUCUGUUUAGUGUAUGAAUGAGAAACUAAUUUCAUCAUUGAUUAUUUUGGAAAUAUGACUUUUGUGAGUGAAAUGGUGUUAUCAAAGAUAGUUGCUUGUAGUGGUAAACCGAACUAAUACCAACUAAUCUUUCUUCCAUUUGACAUUUAAGGUCAACGAAACUAAUGAAGUUAACUGGGAAACCGUUUAUUUCUUAAUAUGAAUUAGUAAUUAAUGUUAUGAAUUCUGGAAUUUUAACUCUAUAAAUGGUGCGGUAUUUAUCAAGUUGUACAGACUUAUCAUCAAAAAUAUAAUUGGUGAACAACAUGUAGCACUUGGGUCCAUGACCUUGUGAUGGUGAUAUAUCAACCGUUAACUCUCACAUGCUUUUGUUCUUUAUAACAAAAUUAAAAUAUAUGUUGGCGAAACGUUGAUGCAUUACAAGAUGAAUUGGGUCCCACACGGAAACAGUUCCAUCGAUCCUAUAAAAAAGGAACCUGACGAUCAGGGGCGUUCGGUUGAUUUUGAGGGCCUGUGGAGAAAAUAAAAUUUGGCGCGUAAACAUAAUUUGUUAAUACAUAAACAAAAUUCGUUAAUACUAUGAUAAGUCGAUAAUUAUUAGAAAAAAAAGGAACGAUAACAUACAAUAUAAUCUAACAUAGUUACAUUAAUCGCAAUGCUCUGAUAGCACUCUUAGAAUCGAAGUUGCUCACCGACUUGUCAUAAUAAAUACUCUCCAAAAUAUUGUUUUCCAUAUGUACCAAAUAUAUUGUUCUCAAAAUCUAUCAUUUCCAAGUGAUUAAGGUUUUUUUUUUCUUUUUGAAAUUGUUGACCGUAAGUAGAAAUUUAACAACUUCAAUUUUGAGAAGUUUGUUUCUACAGACGCAACAGUUAAUAAAAUAUUUAGCAAAACUCUAUAUGAAUUAGGAAAACAACUGACUUUUCCAUAUAUUUUAAAACAUCGGUGGGUUAGUGGUUUCACCGCUUGGUAAGAACUCGUCAACCAGAUAUAACUCCAGAUUAAGUUCAUUGACGUCAACAUCGGAUUGUUCACCAGAUUUAAGUGCAACUUCAAGAGGGAUACAACACAAGUUAAUAUCUUUGUCAUCAAAUUCCUUCAAGUUUUUGGAAGCUAAAAAUCAGAAUUCUUUCAUAUUUAUUUUAUUGUUCAAAGAUUGUUUUAAAAAGAAGUCAUCAAUUGAAAUUGAAACAAUCAAACACACAAUAAACAAUAUAAGUAGGUCGAUUCUAAUUUUGAAGCACAACAAGUAAGCAUCAGAUUUCUCAAAAAAUUGAUUCUAAUUUUUGAAACUGAAACAAUCAAUUAAUCAAUAAUAUGAAAUUGAGUAAUCUUAACUGCGGAGUUCUGAUAGAUCCAGUGCAUUAGUGCUGGUAUGAUCGCACCCGGAAUACUAUCCAUGCUUAUUGCUUCUAUGUCUUACAAGACGCAGAACCUCCUUUGUUUUCGUACGCGAGGCGUAGGACCCACGUGACCGAUCGGCUCCGUUCCAAAAAUACGAAAACCAUCAACAUUAAACCGGAGGCCACCCGAUCAGCACUGAUUUUGAAAGAAUAAGUUAAUCAACAAUCAAACACACACACCCUCAACAACUUAAUUAGCGGGUUCAAGAGAAUGAGUAAUGUCUUAAGGACUUCCGACUUAGAUCGGCGAGAAUCAGAGGGUGAUUUGACUUUCUGCCGGUGACUAUACCCUUGAAUCAAUUUUGUUUCCGAACCUGGAUUAGUAGUCUACUAUUAUGAAUCCUAUGUAAAAAAAUGGGGCCCCUCCACGACGUUGGAUUCCCCUAUAGUACUAGACUCUUGUUAUUCAUUACAAAAUACUAGCUUCUAUCGCUCCUUGCUCGCGUGGCCCUGUGCGGUCGCCCACCUCGCACACCCUCAAAGAUGCCCAUGUAGGUGAUUAGAUAUAUGAAGAGAGUUAUCGCAAUGUUUAAUGUUCUUUUGAUUACUUAUACACCCAAAGAUCAUGUAAAUUAAAGCCAAUGAGUCAUGGUGUGGAACCGUUGCAAUUUCCUUAUCAUAACUAAUUAAUAAGUGAAUUUGUUGAGUAUGGCAUUAACUAAGAAUCGUAUAAAAUCCACAGAUGUAUUAUGUUCAAUCACGACUAUGCACUAUGACCUUUACGUACGGGACAAUAAAAAAACAUUGAUAUUUGAUUAUGGUUCCUCAUGUGUAAGCAUAUGUUGUUAUUAGCUUAGCUAACAACCCAACAAAAAAAGUAUAAUAUAUAUGCCUAUAUUCGUAGUAUUUUUUUUUAAAUUUAGCAGAUACUUCUUUUUUGAUAGAAAAAAAAUAUUGACAAUGAGUUUUGUUUCUCAUUCAAGUAAUAUAUCAUCAAAUUGUAACGACCGAAAAAUUCCAACAAAUUUAAACUUUUGUAAAAACAACCCAUUUUCUUAAUAUUAUUACAGAAAGGUUUUCAAUACAAUUAUUACCAGAGUCUUCCCAGAAUCACAUCAUAAAACAUAAUCAUGAGGAGCGGUACGAUCACGCCUUCGCCUUGCCACGGUCUCCUGAAGAACCUGAAAGACAUUAAACCACAACUGUAAGCCCGAAAGCUUAGUGAGAUAUCCCCAAAAUACCAACCACAUAUACCAUACAUGCAUAACAUGCCAUAUCAUAUCCGAUCACAGAACUGCCAUGCACUUCGGGUCUACUAUGUGACUGGUCCGCCACACCGGCCAACAGUCCACCUGGUCCACCCUCCGAGUCUAGCCAUAUACAUCGAGUCUGCAGUGUGAUUGGUCCGCCCGCACCGGGCCUUCAAUCCACCUGGUCCACUCUCUGAGUCUACAGUAUGACUGGUCCGCCCGCACCGGGCCUUCAGUCGGCCUGGUCCACUCUCCGAGCCUCGGCACGUCUGGUCCGCCCUCUUGGGGCCUACAGCAUAUCCGGACCGCUCGCUGGGCCUUCGGGACAACCGGUCCGCCCUGGGUAUCUUGGCCUACAGCACAAAGCAGGACCCGCCUCAACCCAACCCCAGUCCAACAACCAUGUGCACAUAACAUACAAUCAUAUAACAAUUCACAGUCAACAAGCCGAUCUAACAGAUCACAUAACAUAUCAUCAUCCUAACCAGGAUAUCGACCUAACCGGUCACUAGCAUAGCAUCAUCCUACAUAACAGGAUACCGACCUCAACCAGGUCUCUAACAUAUACCAUCCUAGCUACCAGGAUGCAACCAUAUCAAAGCAAUAACAUAACAACAAAUACCCGGAUCUCAAUCCGAUAAAGGGCUGGCCUUGGUGCCUUAGACCCUGUUGAUAUAGUGAGGAUAACUCACCUUGCCACUGCCAAAACUCUGAACCGAAGAAGCAGAUCCUCGAUUCACCGACUCACCGAAAAUCCCGAACUAGCCAACAUAGCACAAAUAAUCAUUAGGCUAAGCACAAUACCCUUCCAAGGAUAAAUUGACCAAUUUACCCUUAACUCAUUCCGGCCUAACACUGGAUAAGCUCUCAAGCCCACUAAUGGCCCAAAGUCCAAAAGUCUGAAGCAAAGCCCACUAUCGGCCCAAUUUACUAAAUUGGGCCCACCUCACCAAAUGGGCCUAGACCCAUGGUCCAAUACAACUGAUGGGUCCACAAUACUCUAUCCAUAAUGUCCAGUCACAGCCCAAUAAUAGCCCAAUCCCUAUGGCCCAAAAAUGAAAAACCCAAUAGAGGGAGUACGCUGGGCGUACACGCUGAUUCGCAAAUGGGGAUCGGGGCACUGACCCGCUACGCGGGGCGUACUCCUAUGUUACGCGGGGCAUAACUUCGCUACUCAUUGAGUCCACAUAACUUCUUAAUGGCUUAAGCUCUUAAGCCCAAACUUCAGAUCCUUAGGCCAAAUAUGCCUAAGAUUCACAAAGUCUCAAACUUUAUCACUUGGGAUGUCCAUAAAGCUCUUAAUCCAAGGUCUUAAUCCAUUAAGACCUAGAUAUCUCACACAUGGAACAACCACAGCCCUUGGGACCUCAUUUUUCUCACUCAAGACCUCUCCAAAGGUCUGAAAGGAUAGAUAAUCUUGACUAACUCAAAACAUGUAUCAAGAUGAGGACUUUUGGGACAAGAAGGAUUUCAAAACUUCACAACACUUAGAUCUAUGCAAUAUACAUGACAAGCAAGAAGCUUUAUACCUCAAAUAGGCUCCAAAGGAUGAUACAUUUCCAGAUCUAUGAGCUCCAACCACUCAACUCCUUCUUUGACAACUUCCUCUUCCUUCUUCUAGCCUCUCCUUUGCCAAAAUAAGAUUUCCAAGGCCAAACACACCCAAAAAUGGAGGUGGAACGGCUAUCCAGGAUUUCUGAGGUUAAGAGAGCUUAUGGAGGCUAGGGUAUGAACCAACAUGUUCCUUAUAUAGUGGCUGACCCUAAUUUUAGGGUUUUAGAACUCUGAGAGUACGCUGGGCGUACUCAACCUUGCACUCGCGUCCAUUUACACACUUACGCUGGGAGUACUCAGCGUGUCCCAAAUUUCAUAUUUGGCCCUCCUUUUCCAUUUUUCCCACAAAAGGACCACAAUACCCUUCAUCUUAAAUCCCGGGGACUCACAAUUAAGUACUCUUAGGAACGGGGCGUUACACAAAUAAUAUAUAGGGUACUCCAAACAAGUGAAAAUUUAUGUUUUAUACAAUAUGGACAAGUAAGCCAGUCUCGCAUGCAUGUUGCAAAAAAGUUUGUGAUUAGUGUUUUACAAAAACAUGUAAUCAAAUAGAAUGACAUAACUUGAAUUCAAAAUGCUCCUAGACGACUUGCAAAAUCAAAGAAUAUAUGCUCUCUACACCUGAUUGUUAGGCCACCCAUUGGAUGGUCAUAUCGAAAUCCAAACUCUUCCUUUGCCUAACGAACACUUUUCUUGAAUAUUGUGGACAAAAUAAUAUCAAGUAACAAGUUAAUCUUCCUAUGUUCACAGUCUUUACCGAAUGCUUAGAAUAAAAGCAUGAUGUUAUUUCUUGCAUUUAAACUAUUUUUUAAUGUAAAAAAUAAUUAUAUUAAAAAAAGGCAGCAAGUAUAUGAAAAAGGAGAACGCAACACCAAUCCAAUUUUAACCGAACAAUGUCAUUAAUUCAACUUGUUAAGCUUUUGUCCCUUCUUUGUAAAUUACUUAGAAUUGACCCAUUUGCAUCAAUACGGCUGUAGAUUUGUUUCCACAAUUCUUCUGACAUUUACAUACCAAUUCCAUGUUAUCAUUAAAGUUUUAUCUAGCCAAUUCUUUUUUCCAUUAUGUGAGGGAAUUCACAAUUCCGUUCCAAUUUGAAUAAAGGUUUGUAACACUCAAAUCUGUCCCCUUCAAGAUAUUCAUGUUUUUGGCAUGCCAUCAUAUUUCUAAGCCCAUUACAAAUAGCAAUCCAAGAUUUCAAUUCCAAUUUACCCAUUUAAUUGAAUAUAUUUGAAAAAUCAACUUGCUAUGGUUUUCUUAUUACCUGAAGAAUCUAUAAAAUUUAAUAACAAUAUAAAUUUUGGGUUACCAAAUGUGAGAAAUCAUGCACCCCAUAAAUGAUUUAUGUGCUUCGUUUCUUUUUCCCGCUUCGGUUCGCACUCAACAUAAUACAAAGAGACCUUCAAGUUCUCCAUUUCUUUCCAGAUUGUACACAUACGACGUGUUUGAUAAAAUAGUUGUUAUCUGCCAGCUUGUAGCGGGUAGGGAGUAGCGCGUAGGUGGUAGCUGGUAGCUUGGUACCUGGUACCUGAUAGCUGAAAGUUGUACUAAUUAUUUGUUAUAUGAGUGUUUGAUAAACGUAGCUGGAAGCUUUUGAAAUAUGUAAAAUUUANAUAUAUAUAUUGGAGCGUUUUGUGAAAAAGUAAAAACUAGAAGGUGUCAAACACCCCCAAAUGCUCCGUGCCGAACACGCCAACCACACACACACACAUGUAAACCAACGUCCUCUUUUCUUUUUUUAACAUUUAAUCGAUGCUCAUAAGAAAAGAAAAUAACGUGCUCCCUAAUUUCCACUUUUGAUUCUAACAUUUAACCUAUGUUUGCAUUAAGCCCUAUAUCUUCUAUUUAUUUUCAAAAUGACCAAAAAAUAGUAAGUAAUAGAUUUUCCCCUGUAUUUUUAAAUUCAAAAGAUUUGAAAAUAUUGUUCUAAUUUAUUACUUCACUAUUCACCUUAAAAUCAUUUUAAAUAAAUAAAAAAUUAAUUUACUUCAUUUUUCUAUUAGUUUCUGUUUAAUAAACUAUGACUUAUUAAAUUUAAUUUUUGCCCACCAGCAUGCUUUGAAAUUCUUAUAAUCUGGAUUGUAUGAUGUUCGACAUAUAUUUUGGGAUGUUGCCCGACCUCUUCAAGAAUACCACCCCAUCCACAACCAAAGUUAGUGUAAGUUGUUACAUUUACUCCAUGUUUAAAGAUUAAAUUUGUAGAAGCAAGGUCAUCAAAAGUAUUAUAACAUUUGGGAUGUUACGAAUCUCUUCAAAAAUACCACCCAUCCACGAACUAAGCUAGUGUAAGCCUAUGAAGUUAAUUACAUGUACAAAGAAGUAAUUCGUAGAAGCUAGGUCAUCAAGCGCAACAAUCAUCUCAUUUUGACGUUGAGAACGAGAUGGUAUCACAAAAACAGAAGGAGGCAUAUCAUGCUUCAGACAAAAAAGAGCCCUAUAUAAACAAAUACUGUAUUCAACACUUGAUGCCUAAAAAUGUUUGAGCAAAUAAGAAAACUGAAGCAACUAUAGCAUAAGGUUUAAAAAUUAAUACAAAAAAACAUUUGAAAAUACCGUUCUAGUGUUUCCUCCUCGGGUUAAGUGCUAGUGUUUGAGGUUCCUUCAUCACUUAACUCUUAAAGCUCUUCAAGAUCAAUUUGCCUCCUACUGUCCUCUUGGCAUAUGAGUUCACUCUCCCGGAAAACCCCUCUUCUCGCAACAAAGAAAAUAUUGUCACUUGGUAUGUAGAAGAGAUAUCCAAAGGAUUUUUUAGGAUAGCCGAUGAAAAUACAACGCUCACUGCGAGGUUCAAGCUUUUCGUGAGUCUCUCGUCUUACAAAAAUCUCUAAUUCCACCCUACCCGGUCCUCAGUUGCUGAAGGCCUCUUUGCAAUGCUAGUUAGCCAUCACCUGAAUACCAUCACAUGUGGUGAGGCUCAGAUAAUCCUUCGAGUAAUAGACUCGGCUCUACAACGGUUAGACUCAGACAAGAGCUGCGCAAUAGGGCCAAGUCCAGCACUCUAAGAUUAUUCAACCUUGAUCACGUGUGACGUGAUGUAUUCACCUAAUGUCUAACUCCCAUCACUUAGAGUCCCACGAAGCACAAAGCAAGCAUCAUUCAGACAACAAGAAACAAUCUCAAGCAAAUCCGUCCUCAUAAAGAGAAACUGACUAGCAUACAAUGCUAAACUCAUACUAUCAGGCAUAACCUAAACAAGCUAUCCUACUGCCGUCUACUCAAUUCUAGCAUGCAAUUUUUAUACACUGAAGCACAUAAAGCAGGCACAUAAGGUAUCACUCCUAGAUCCUUAGUCCUAUUCUAGCAUGCUGUUCUAUUGAAACUGAUAAACAUAACAUAAGCUUGUACGGGUACUUUGGGGAAUACUUACUUGAGCUCGGCCGGUCGCGCACAUCACACACUUCGUUCCUUCUUAAAACUCUUUACUUAGCUUUUUAGAAAGUAUUUUCUUCUUUAAAAUCUUUUAAUCCCCCGAUUUGAGUUCAGACACCCCCGAAGGUGUGUCCGAAUCUCUCAAACCAGGGCUCUGAUACCAAGUUGUAACGUCCCAAAAAUACGAACCAAAAAUUUUAUUUUUAAAACAUAUACUUAGCAAAACACUAGAAAUAAAAGGUUCACCGAUCAUAUCAUUUCAUAAAAGAUAUCGCAUAUCUGGAAAACAUUUUAAUAAAACAUAAUAAUGUCAGAGUACAAAUCCCCAGGAAGAUCUCAUAGUGCGGAAUACAAGGCAUGUGUGAUGUGCCACUAUCGCGCCAGCUCCUUUCCCUUCGAGAAAGAGGUACCUGAAACCAAAACUGAAAACUGUAAGCACGAAGCUUAGUGAGUUCCCCCAUCAUACCUCAUACCAUACAAUCACAUAUCAUACAUACUGCCGGGCGAUUCUGGGGUGCCCGAUCUACCCGGUACGGCCAUUCUGGGGUGCCGACCUACCCGUGUCAAGCCAUUCUGGGGUGCUGACUACCCAUCGGUCCUAACAACCGAUCCUCGGGGACUAUUUCACCCCCUACUGCUAAUAUCGCAUAUACAUAUCAUAACAUAUUAUCAGACAUAUCUAGGGUGUCCGAUCUACCCUUCGGUCCUAACGACCGAACUUGGGAACUAUUCCCCUACUAAUACCACUAUCACAUGUAACAUAUCAUGCCAGCAUAUAAACAUAUCAGGUAGUAGCAAACCUAGAUGAUAUCACAAAGAUAAUCAUCUAACAUACAACUCCUACUGGUGGGUCGGCAUGGUGGCUGAAGACCCACCGCUACUGGAAGGUAACUCACCUCAAAGUAGUUGCUGAUCUGCGUGGGAACUGACUGUCUUCUGCUGCUGCUGCCCCGGAAAUCCUCCGGCUAUAAUCCCCACAAAACACUCAGUCAAAUACUGCUAACUGACCUCAGGGUAAAAUGACCAUUUACCCUUAACCAAACCAAGAGUCAAAGUCAAAGUCAACUUCCAGUUGACCCGACUCGUCGAGUUGGCUUGCCAACUCGCCGAGUCCCUGUCCAUUCGUUUGACCAUAAUCUCGUCUCUACUCGUCGAGUUAGGCAUUGACUCGACGAGUUUUUCUUCUAAACCAAAGUCCAAUAGUCCUUCAUCCUACUCGCCGAGUUGUAUGAACAACUCAUCGAGUUCAUCUUCUUCCGAAGAACAUUCUAUGCUAAGACUCGCCGAGUUGUAUGAACAACUCGCCGAGUCUGUUCUUGAGGCAACAAGAUUGCCUUGGACUCGACGAGUCAUGGCAUUGACUCAUCGUGUUCCUUCAUGGGUGAGUCUAUCUUCCGACUCACUAAGUCACACCCCAUGACUCACUACUCCACUCAACAAACACGAAAAGGGGGAAAACUCGGGGACUCGCGAAUCGACUCGCCGAGUCCGACGAACGAAUCUAUCCGAGUCUUUCACAUGCAAAUAUUAUAUAAUCGAUUUUGCUUGAAUCCAGCUCAUGCCAUACAUAGAUAUGGGUUCUUAGGGCUUGAUUAACAUGUAAAGUUUCCAACUUUACAUGUAAAUAAACACCAAUGAAGGUUUUAGGGCUCAAAAUGCACUAAAAGAGUAGAUGUAGGGCUUUCAUGCAAUAUGGCUCCAUAAUGGCAAUAGAUUCGAGUUCCUGGACCUCAAUCAUGCCUAGAUCUAAAGGUUAGUCAACUUAUUACCAACCCUAAUUCAUACUCAAGCUUGGAAUUGGCUCAAGAAGGACUUUAAUGGAGCUUUAAAGGGACUAAAAGCAUGAAAACAGAGGGAAACUGAGUUAUACCUCAAGGAAAUCACUGAGAUAACACCAAGAUGUAUGGCCUCCUUCUUCUCUUCUUGAUCUACUCUCCCUUCUCUCAAAAUCUUCAAGAAAGCACACCAAAACACUUCAAUCUCACAAGGAACAAGGUUUGGACGGUAUAGGGAGCUCUGAGAGUGGAGGGGGCGAGAUUGGGGGCGCAUAAGAUGACUUAAGUAGGGUGCAAACCCUUGAAAUUUAGGGUUUCAUCAGACAGCGGGGCCUCGCCGAGUCCAGAAUAUGGACUUGCCGAGUCGCCAACUUAAACGUGCUCCAUAUCCCGUCUCUACUCGGCGAGUUGGGCCUACAACUCGCCGAGUCCAAGGCUGAAAAUGCAAAACACUUAGAUAAAUUUUACAUACCAGGAACCAGGUGCUAUAAGUAUCAUAACAGUUGAGUAUUUUUAAUGAAAGUAAGCACAACCAUCAUAAAUAUAAUUUAAAAUUUACAUUAUUGAAUGUAAUACAUGUUUCAAAAUAAAUUACAAUAUGACGAUUUAUUAAGUUUUGAAACUGACGCCUUAGCGUCCCUACUCCAAAAGCUGGUGUUUACCUAUAUUACUGAAUCCCUGAGAAAUACAAGUACUUUUGAAAAAGUGUCAACAAUUAAGUUGGUGAGUUCAUACCACUAUAUUUUCACGUUUUCUCUAUGUUUUUUUUUNGGGGAGGGGGAAUACAAGUGAAACGCAAGAAAAACUUAUGUUGAUAUACAAAUUGUUACAUAUAGGUUAUAAUGUAUUACCUACAUCUUAUGUAUAAAUGUCAAAUACGUAAAAUAACGUUACCACUAACGUUAUAUACUACUUUACAUGCAAAGUUGGUAAUACACCUAGGUUUAUCAUUCAAAUGAAACACACUUUUUGAAAACAACUAUAAUAGGUAUAGUUUACGAGAUAUUCAUGAUAGUUUUACAUAUUAUAAAACAAAAGAAGAAAUACUUAUAUUCACAAGAAAAAUGGACUUUUCAUACGAAAACCUGUUGAUACUAAAUUUUGUGAGAUAUCUGACUUCGUCGAACCUUUCAGUUCACAGAUUAAGUCCUGUUUUAUAAGCCAUGAUAUCUUGUAGGGAGAGCGUGAUACUUGUGUAUAGAUCUAUAUGGGAUUGACAAUCCCACACCUAAACUGUUAGCUACAGUUAGACCAGCAGGUCUGGGGUGACAAACGUCAUAUCAUUCCAACGCCUGAAGAACAUUAUUACAGGCAGUCUGGGAUACCAAUCUAUCGACAAUCACCCCAAAUGGUAUCAUAACCACCCGUUGACUUGGGUAAAUUAGUUAUGAAAACCAUUGUAUGGAUUAUGCCUGAUUCAUCUAAUACAGUUCCUUGUAUACGAGUCGUAUAUAGUUAAGAUUGAAAAGGCAGUCGAAUAAAUGAUUCAUCUCUAAGCCCACAUCCAGACAAGGAAAAGGAGUCAAAGUGGAAUCAUCAAUUCUAAGCCUGUAGAAUCUUAAUUACGUACUACUCUUAUGUGUACAUUUGAUAGUAUUAGAUAAAUCACAUAAUUUUUUUGGGGUCUUUGUUGGUGAACUUGACUUUCUGUGUGAGUAGUAUUCCUGGAAACUCUGUUGGCAGUACUUGAGCAAAGUUAUAGAAAAUUUAGUGCUACUUACGUGACUACUUCUUUGGAGGUUUUUGUUGGUUUCCUUGAUUGUCAUUACGGUUUGAAGUGUUGACUCGGUUUUCAUUUUCUUUUGGUCUGGUUAGGGUUGAAUUGUGCCAUGACAGCUGCCACUACAGCCGUUACCACGGCUUGGAAUUUAGUGGAGUGUAUGUGUAGGAUUAGGGUUUCGUCGGCUGGUUGAUCAAAUUAGUCGUCUACGCAUGGUAGUGGGUAACGAUUCUUAAUGGUAAGCUUGUUUAGUUCUCGAUAGUCAAUGUACAUACAAAACGAUCCGUCGUUCUUGUUGAUGAACAAGACCGAUGCUCCUUAUGGGGAGAAGGUUGGUCUAAUAACUCCUUUACUGAGAGGUUUGUUAAGUUGAACGGAGUGUUCCUGCAUCUCUGUUUGAGUUGGACGGUAAGGCGAUUUAGAUACAGGUGUAGUUCCUGGAAUUAAGUCGAUUCGUAACUCGACUUGAUGUUGUGGUGGUAAUCCUAAUCGUUCUUCUGGAAAGAUGUCGGGAAGGUCCCGUAUUUCUGGGUUAUUAUUUGGUGUUCUUCGCUUUAAGUCUAAAAACUAUUGGGUAGGUUAGAAGGGCGUGGUACCCCUUGCAUGGGUACUUCUGAAGGGUUUUGCAUUAUGGGUCGGGAAAAUUGCAUCUGAUGGUUGUUUAAGGGAAGAGUUCCUUUCAUCUAGCACAUAAACUUUGCAUGGUAAGAACCAAGCCAAAUCAUGUCGGAUGAUGAUGUCCUAUCUUCUUGAUGAUUUUAAUAUCGUGUUGGUCUGGAGGAAGAAAGGAUUACUAGGACGAAGAACUAACCUUGGUAUUAAUACUACGAACCCUAUUGUAUCUCAAAUUACAAGUACAAACUAAACAAGGGUUCUGAUAAUUUGAAAUAAUGAGCUUUCAUGAAGUAAUCCCUACUAGGUUUUUCUAUUAUCGUCCGGUGUAUGCAAGAAGGUAUAAUUAUGACGUAACGUGUAAAAUUCUGUAAAAUCUCAGGGAUCUAAUUAUUGAGGUUUAUAUACGUACCAAAAUUUCCUACUAGAGUUCCUUGUUGCUUUUUCAUGUUCCGUUCUUACACUCCCCCUGUUCCCCGUCAUUCCUCUCCGUUGGGCAGUGCCUCUUGAAGUGUCCUAUUUCACCAGAAAGGUGGAAUAUUAGACUGGCCCCACAUUGGUGGUUGAAGUGAUGAGCUCAACCGGGGUCCUACAUAAGCUAGGGUAAGCCUACGAAGUACAUUACAUGCUCAAUGAAAUAAAUCGUAGAAGCUAGGUCAUGAAGCGCAACAAUCAUCUCAUUUUUAUUGUUGAGAAUGGAUAGUAUCACGACAAUAGGAGAAGGCAAAUCAUGCUUCACAUAAAAAGAGCCCUAUAUAAACAUAUAUUUGAAUAUAUUUAAAAAAUCAACUUACUAGGGUUUGGUUAUUACGUCAAGAAUCUAUCAGAUUGAAGAACAUUAGGAAUUUUGGGUUACCAAAUGUGAGAAAUCACACACCCCUUGUAUGAUUUAUGUGCUCCGUUUCUUUUUCCCCUAUCUAGGGUUUGGUUCACAGUCAACAUAAUAAAAAGAGGCCUUCAAGUCCCCCAUUUCUUUUUAGAUUGUAGACAUAGGGCGUGUUUGACAAAAGUAGUUGUUAGCUGGUAGAUUGUAGUUGAGUAGUGUGUAGCGGAUAACUCAUAGCCAAGUACCUGGUAGCUGAAAGUUGGAAUAUUUAUUUGUUAGUUGAGUGUGUGGCAAAAGUAAUCGGAAGCUUUUGAAAUAUGUAAAAUUUAUAUAAACGAACAAUAUAUAUAUAUAUAAGGUAGUUGUGUAAAUUAAUUUAAAAAAGCUUAGUAUAGCAUUUUGUAAACGCUACAUGAAGUUACUUUUAGAUUUGGAGCAUUUUGUUUAAACUAAAAGAUAAACGCUCGUAUUGCUUAACAAACUUUUUUUUUGUUUAAAUGAGAGUAUUUUGUCAAAAGUUAGAAGCUAGAAGCUAGAAAUUUCCAAACACUCCCAAACACUCUAUGCCAAACACGCCAACCAGAGAUAUACAUGGAAACCACCUUUUUCUUUUCUUUUGUCAACAUUCAAUCGACACUCACAAGAAAAGAAAAUAAGGUGCUACCCACUUUCCACUUUUGAUCCCAACAUUUAACCUAUGUUUACAUUAAGCCCUUUAAAUUCUAUUUAUUUUAAAAAUGAACAAUAAAUAUUAAGUAACUGAUUUUUACCUAUACUUUCAAAUUCAAAAUAUUCCAAAAUACCCUUCUAAUUUAUUACUUCAUUUUUCAACAUAGAAAUCAUUUUAAAUAAUAAAAAAUUAAUUUACUUCAUUUUUCUAUUAGUUUCCGUUUAAUAAACUUUGAGUUAUUAAAUUCUGUUUUUGCCGAACCAGCAUGCCUUAAAAUUCUCAUGUACCUAAUUAUCCGAUGUUCGACAUAAAAUUUGGGAUUCUCCCCGGUCUCUUCAAGAAUAACACCCAUCCACGACCUAGGUUAGUGUAAGGUAUGACGUUCACUCCAUGUUCAAAGAUAAAAUUCAGAGAAGCUAGGUCAUCAAGUGUAUUAUAAAAUUUGGGAUGUUACCAAAUCUCUUCAAAAAUACCAGUCAUCCAUGAGAUUGUUCAAUAAUGAUUAUGCACCUUCCUUAUCACACUAAUUAAUAUGUGAAAUUGUUUAAUACGACAUUAACUGAGGAUCGUAGAAAUCAGUAGAAGUAUUAUGUUCAAUCAUAAGUAUGCACUUUGACCGUUACACAGGACAAUGAAAAAAAACAUUGAUAUUUGAUUUUGGUUCCUCAUAUUAGGCGUAAGCAUAUGUUGUUAUUAGCUUACCUAAGAACCAAACAAAAAAAAGUAUAAUAUGCAUAUAUUCACAAUAUAUUUUUUAAAUUUAGUAGACACUUCUUUUUUGAAAGAAAAAAAAUAUUGACAAUGAAUUUAUGUUUCUCAAUGAAGUAUAAGCUUAUAUUUUCAAAUAAUAUACGGGGUACUCCAACCAAGUGAAAAUUCAUGUUUUAUACAAUGGAUACAAGUGACUCAGCCUCGCAUGCAUGUUGCAAAAUGGUCUGUGAGCAGUGCUUUAAAGAAUGUGUAAGCAAAUAGAAUGAGAAAACCAGAAUUCAAAAUGCUCCCAGGCGACUUGCAUGAACAAAGAAUGUCUUUUCACUACACUGGAUUGUUACGCCACCCAUUGUAUGGUCAUAUCCAAAUCCAAACUCUUCCUCUACCUAACGAACACGGUUCGUGAAUAUCCAUGACUGUAUAAUCUCAAGUAACAAGUGUAUAAUCUCAUGUAACAAGUUAAUCUUCCUAUGUUCAUAGUUUUUACCAAAUGCUUAGGAUAAAAGCAUGUUACUAUUUAUUGCAUUUAAACUAUUUUUUAAAUUUCAAAAAUAACUAUAUUAAAAAAAGCCAGCAAGUAGAUGAAAAGAAGAAGAAUGCAACACCAAUCCAAUUUUAACCAAAGAAUGCAAUUCUUUCAACUUGUUAACCUUCUGUCUAUUCUUUGUAAAUUUUACUUAGAAUUAGCCUAUUUGCAUCAAUACACCUGUAGAUUAGUUCCACAAUUCUUUUGACAUUUACAUACCAAUUCCAUGCUAUCAUAAGAGUUUUUUCUAGCACAUUCCUUUUCCCAUUAUGUGAGGGAAUUCACAUUUCCGUUUCAAUUUGAAUAAAGGUUAGUAAUAUUUAAAAUCUGUACCGUUCAAGAUAUUCAAGUUUUUGGCAUGCCAUCGUAUUUCUAAGAUCAUUUCAAAUAGCAAUCCAAGAUUUUGAAUCCAAUUUUUUCAACAUUUAUUUGAAUAUAUUUGAAAAAUCAACUUACUAGGGUAUGCUUAUUACUUCAAGAAUCUAUCAAAUUGAAGAACAAUAAGAAGUUUGGGUUACCAAAUGUGAUAAAUCACGCACUGCUUAAAUGAUUUAUGUGGUCCAUUUGGUUCGAACUCAACAUAAUACAAAGAGACCAUCAAGUUGUCCCUUUCUUUCCAGACUGUAGACAUAAAAGGACAACUGUUAAUACACACACACACACACACGAAAACGACACAUGAAGUAACUUUUAGAUUUGGAGCGUUUUGUCUAAACUAAAAGAUAAACGAUUGUAUUGCCAAACAAAGUUUUUUGUUUAAAUUUGAGCGUUUUGUCAAAAGGUAGAAGCUAAAAGCGCCCAAACACCUCCAAAUAAUCCGUGCCAAACACGCCAAUCACACACACACACACACGAAAACCAACAUUUUCUUUUCUUUUGUUAAGAUUUAAUGGAUGCUCAAAAGAAAAGAAAAUAAGGAGCUCCCCAAUUUCCACUUUUGAUUCCAAUAUUUAACCUAUGUUUACAUUAAGCUCUUUGUCUUCUAUUUAUUUCCAAAAUGACCAAAAAAAUAAUAACUAACUGAUUUUUCCCUCUAUUUUAAUAUUCAAAAUAUUUCAAAAUACCCUUCUAAUUUAUUACUUCAUUGUUCAACAUACAAAUCAUUUUAAACAAAUAAACAGUUAAUUUACUUCACUUAUCUAUUAGUUUCUGUUUAGUAAACUUUGAGUUUUUAAAUUCUAUUUUUGCCCACCAGCAUGCCUUAAAAUUCUUAUGUACUUAAUUGUCUGAUGUUCAACAUAAAAUUUGGGAUUUCCCCCCAUCUGUUCAAGAAUACCACCCAUCCACGACCUAAGUUAGUGUAAGCUAUGACGUUCACUCCAUGUUCAAAGAUAAAAUUCGUAGAAGCUAGGUCAUUAAGCGUAUUAUAAAUUUGGGAUGUUACCAAAUCUCUUGAAAAAUACCAGCCAUCGGCGACCUAACCUAGUGUAAGCCUAUGAAGUUUAUUACAUGUUCAAAGAAAUAAUUCAUGGAAGCUAGGUCAUCAAGCACAACAAUAAUCUCAUUUUGAUGUUGAGAACGGGAUGGUAUCACGACAAUAGGUGGAGAAAAAUCAUGCUUUAGACAAAAAAGAGCCCUAUAUAAACAAAUACCGUAUUCAACACUUGAUACCUAAAAAUGUUUGAGCAAAUAAGAAAAUCAAAGCAACUAUAGCAUAAGGUUCGGAAAUUAAUAUAAAGAAUUCAAUCCAAAUCCUCUAAAGAGAAGCCAAACAAUCAUAAAGUUUCUUCUUCCAAUAAUAAUGAACAUCCAAAUCCCUCUCAAGAGAAGCCAUAUAUAAACGAAUAAUAUACUCAACACUUGAUGCCAUGUAGAUUUGUUUUUUUUUUUUUUUAAUUUGCGUUUUUAAGAGUUUAAAAACUAUUAGUAAUUAACAUCUUAAAACAUCAAAUUUCAAUAACUUACACAAAACAAGAACAAAUUAAUACAGUGAAUACUUAACAGUUAAAAUCUUACAAGCCCGAUGUUUAAAUAACUUAAUUUAAAAAGUUAAAACACCACCAAACCAUAUUAUCAAGAGUUCCAGACCAUUAAAACACCAUUAAACCAAUAAGUUAAGUGAUUAAUGAUUAAAAUCUUAAAAAAAAAAAUUCUAAAACUUCUAAAAUUUAAACAAAACCAAAACAAUAUUUUUGUCUCCCAAUAUUUUCGCUUUUCUCCUCCCAUGUAACAAUUUGCUAUUGAAACCUUCUUUCCACUAUGUAGACUACAAGGCAAGCAAAAUAUUAUAUACUCAACAAUUAAAAAAUCAUUAAUCAUUAGACAAUAUAAAGAAAGAGAAACAAAUUUUAUUGUCCACUAUUUUGGAAAUAUGAUUUUUUUUUUUCUUUUGGAGUGAAAUGGAGAGUAUUGUAUUUAAUGUUAUAUAUUGGCUUGUCCUAUAGAACUACAUAAAGCAUACAAAGUUAACAAACAUGGUAGCUCUUUAUGGUAAAUCGAAUCAAUAUACUAUCUAAUCUUUCUUCUGGUUGACUUUUUAGGUGAAUGAAAGCUAAUGAAGUUAACUGGGAGAUAAACUAUUUUGUAAUAUCAAUUGAUAAUGUUAUGUUUUCUCGUUUUUUAGCUCACUAAACGGUUCAGUUCCUUACGAAGUUGUACAAAUUAAAAAAAAAAAUGAGUGGUGAUUAAUGCAUAGCAUUUGGGUCCAAGACCUUGUGAGAGUGAUAUAUAACCAAUUACCCCCACAUGCUUUUGUUGCUCAACAAAAUCAAAAUUUAAGUUAUCUUUGAUGCAUUGCAUGAUCCGACUGGAGAGGCCUGUUGUAUGAAAAUGAACCAACUGAUCAGUGGAUAUACGAAUAGGGUUAUAACAAUGAUUAACUAUUCUUUUGAUUACGUACACACCCUAAGAUCAGCUAAAUUAAUGCCAAUGAGUCCAACAAUAAAGCUAUGCAGUUUUCUUACCACAACUAAUUAAUAUGCAAAAUUGUUGCAUAAUCACAUUAACUGAGAAUCAUAGAACACCAGUUGAAAUAUCGUGUUAAACGCAAUAUAGGCAGGUGUGUAAAUUGAUUUAAAAAAGCUUAGUCGCAUUUUGUUAAACGCAACAUGAAGUAACUUGUAGAUUUGGAUCAUUUUGUUUAAAGUCCAAAAUAAACGUUCGUAUAGCUAAACGAAGCUUUUUGUUUAAAUUGGAACGUUUUGUCAAAAGAUAGAAGCUCUCAAACACUCGCAAUCGCUCCGUGCCAAACACACCAACCAUGCACACAAAUGCAAACAAGCGUUUUCUUUUAUUUUGUUAACAUUCGAUCUGUCACAAAAAGAAAAUAAGGUGCUCCCCAAUUUCCACUUUUGAUACCAACAUCUAACCUAUGUUUGCAUUAAGCCUUUUAUCCUCUAUUUAUUUUCAAAAUGACCAAACAAUAAUAAGUAGCAGAUUUUUCCCUCUAUUUUCGAAUUCGAAAUAUUUCAAAAUACCCUUCUAAUUUAUGACCUAACUAUUCAAAACACAUCUCAUUUUAAAUAUAUAAAAAAUUAAUUUACUUCAUUAUUCUAUUACUUUCCGUUUAAUAAACUUUUGGGCUAUUAAAUUCUAUUUUUGCCCACCAGCAUGCCCUAAAAUUCUUAUAUACUUGAUCGUCUGAUGUUCGAUAUGAAAUUUGGGAUGUUUCCCAGUCUCUUCAAGAAAACCACCCAUCCAUGAGCUAAGUUAGUGUAAGCUAUGACGUUCACUCCAUGUUUACAGAUCUAAUUCAUAGAAGCUAGGUCAUCAAACGUAUUAUAAAAUUUGGGAUGUACCAAAUCUAUUCAAGAGUACAACACAUCCACGACCUAAGCUAGUGUAAGCCUAUGAAGUUCACUACAUGCUAAAAUAAAUAAUUCGUAAAAGCUAGGUCAUCAAGCUUAAAAUUUAUCUCAUUUUGAUGUUGAGAACGAGAUGGUAUCACGACAGUAGGAGGAGGCAAAUCAUGCUUAAGAUAUAAAAGAGCCCUAUAUAAACAAAUACUAUAUUCAACAUUUGGAGCCAAAAAAUAUUUGAGCAAAUAAAAAAAUCGAAGCAACGAUAGCAAAUGGUUCGGAAAUUAAUAUCAAAUAACCAAUCCAAAUCCAUCUCAAGAGAAGCCUAACGAUCAGAAAGUUUUUUCUUCCCAUCAUGAUGAACAUCCAAAUCCAUCUCAAGAGAAGCCCUAUAUAAAUCAAUAAGCUAAGUAUUAAUGACUGACAUCUUAAAAACACCCAAUUUCUAAAAAAAAGACAACAACAACAUUUUUGUCUCCUACUAUUUUCCCUUUUUUUCUUCCGAUGUACCAAUAUGCUAUUCGAACUUUCUUUCCACUAACUAGACUACAAGGCAAGCAAAAUCAUUACAUACUAAACAAUUAAAAAAUUAUUAACAAUUAGAGAAUAUAAACAAAAAGAAACGAAUUUUUUUGUCGACUAUUUUAUAAAUAUGAUUCUUUUGUUUGGGAGUGAAAUUGUGUAUUGUGUUAAUGUUAUAUCUUGGCUUGUCUUGUACAAGUGCAUAAAGCAUACAUAACAAAAAUGAUAGCUCUUUAUAGUAAAUCUAACUAAUAUACUAUCUAAUCUUUCUUCCAGUUGACCUUUAAAGUGAACGAAAGCUGAUGAAGUUAACUCGGAAACCAAAUAUUUUGUAAUAUCAGUUGAUAAUGUUAUGAGCUCUCUCUCUCUCUCUCUCUCUCUCUCUCUCUCUCUCUCUCUCUCUCUCUCUCUCUCUCUCUCUCUCUCUCUCUCUNCUCUCUCUCUCUCUCUCUCUCUCUCUCUCUCUCUCUCUCUCUCUCUCUCUCUCUAAAAAAUGAGUGGUGGUCAAUGUGUAGCAUUUGGGUCCAAUACCUUGUGAUAGUGAUAUAUUACCAAUUACUACCCCCAGAUGCUUUUGCUCCUUAACAAAAUUAAAAUAUAAGUUAUCAUUGAUGCAUUACAAGACCCAAUUGGGCCUUACUUGAAAACUACUCCUUCGUAUGAACAACGAACUAGUGAUUGGAUAUACGAAUAGAGUUAUAACAGUUUUUAACUAUUCUUGUAAUUACUUACACACCAUAGGAUCGCGUAAAUUAAAGUCAAUGAGUACUAUGAUAAAUCUAUGCAAUUUUUCUUACCACAACUAAUUAAUAUGCAAAAUUGUUGCAUAAUGACAUAAACUGAGAAUCAUAGAACACCCGUAGAAAUAGUAUGUUUUAAUCCGUAUUAUGCAUUUUGAUCGUUACCAACAGGAAAAUGAAAAACACCUUGAUGUUUGAUUUUAGUUUCACAUCGGUGAUAUUCCUAGCUAUAUUGAUACUUCUUUUUUGAAAUUGAGCAGACACUUCGGUUUUUUCUUAAAUAUUGACAAUGAAUUUUGGUUCUCCUUCAAGUGUAAACCUAUAUCGUGAAAUAAUAUACAUGGUAUUCCAAACAAGUCAAAAUUCAUAUUUUAUACAUCUGGGACAAGUGACUCAGUCUCGCAUGUUGCAAAAUGGUAUGCGAUCCGUGCUUUACAAAAAAAGUGUUAGCAAACUGAAUGAUGUCAAUUGACUUCAAAAUGCUCCCAGGCCACUUGCAAGAUCAUAGAAUGUCUGCACACAACACCGGAUUGUUAGGCCGCCCAUUGGAUGGUUAUAUUCAAACUCUUCCUCGGUUUCACGUAAUAAGUCCUGAAAUGAAGGCUAGCUUAACAAUGACACACGAAUCACAAAACCCUUCUUUUCUUGCUCUCCAACAUAAACUGCAAAAUAUCCUUUCGGUAGAUCCGUUUCUGUUGUGCGGGUUCCAUUUGACAAAGACCGUUUUAGUAUCUGUCUUGCUUGCAUGAUUCGAGGCAUACGAAUACCCAUUUUUCUGAAGGUUUAUCACGGAGGGACAAAAGAAUUUGUGAGUAUUCUCUAAGUGAAAGAUGUACAGGAGGAGUUUGAGAGGAAAUUAUGGUGGUGCUUUACCUAUCAUAUGCAAUAUAUAAAGGUUUAUUGGAUCUUCAAAUGUACAAUAAGUGAUAAAAAAGAAAUUAAAUGACAGAUGGGGACAUUGCGACUGGAAGACAAGAUCAUGUGCCGUGUCUUUUCACUUGUAUAAUGAAAAGUAUGAUCAUCUUGAAUUGAACAACCACACAGUCACAAGCAAUAAUAUGGCUUACUCAUGUACUUGUAAAUAGAAACAAAAUUUAACAAAGAAGAUAACUUGUAUCACCAGUAUUCUAAACUUAGUUGGGUAUGAAAAACGGUGGAAGCACCGUGGUCCCAUGUAAUACUAAGAUGAAUGUGGCAAUGCCUCCCAACAAGCAUGAAAUAGUGGCUAAGAUCUCUGAGGUUUUGUUACAAAAACAUAUGUGGCCUUAUCAUUAAUACAAGAGUUAGACAUUGGAUCUGUCUUACAGGUUGGAAGACAAAGCCAUGUGAGGUUGCCUUUUCUUCAUCCGUAUGUCACCAUCCUCAAUCAAGAUCUCCUUCUAUCUCUGUAUAUAAAUACCAUUCUAUAUGAGUCACACAACCAUAACUUCCUCUGAAAUCAUUCGUACCUUUUCACCUAGAAGACGUGCUUUGAGAGUUUCCUUCCUCAAUCAGGCUUUUGAAGUGAACAGACACACCCUCCUUAAAAAUGGCCAUCCUUUUUCCUCGGAUCAUUCAAGCAAAACAAAUUCUCCGAAGAUCAUUAUCCAAUGGAAGCAGCACAACCAAAUCUAUGGACAUCCCAAAAGGCUAUUUAGCAAUCUAUGUUGGUGAGCAAGAGAAGAAGCGAUAUGUGGUUCCUGUAUGGUUGUUAAGUGAACCUGCUUUUCAAGAAUUACUAGAUCAGGCAGAAAAAGAAUUUGGAUAUGUUCAUCAAAUGGGCGGCCUCACUAUUCCAUGCAGUGAAUAUACAUUCAGUGAUAUUGCUUCUCAGUUGGGCGCAUUAUGACUUCUAUACAGCAUUCUUACAACCAACUAACCACUAGGUUUUUUUUAUCAUUUGUAACUAAAUCGAGAGAAUUUUCCCACUUGUAUGAAAUCGGAUCAAGGAACCGUUUUGAGUUCACUAUAAUCUGUUUAGUGUAUGAAUGAGAAACUAAUUUCACCAUUGAUUAUUUUGGAAAUAUGACUUUUGGGAGUGAAAUGGUGUUAUCAAAGAUAGUUGCUUGUAGUGGUAAACCGAACUAAUACCAACUAAUCUUUCUUCCAUUUGACAUUUAAGGUCAACGAAAC